CCGACGACAAGGUCAGAGCCAACUGGUUCCCGAUGGUCCUGAAAGGAUCAGCAAGAACCUAGCUGCUUAACCUGCUCGCUGGGUCCAUCGCCAUUUGGGCGGACCUGCGUGAGCAGUUUGUGAGCGUGUUCUAGGGCGGCUACAAGCGCCCGGGAACCAUGGUGGAGCUGCACACCUUGGUGCAGAAGCCGGGGGAGACGCUGCGGAGCUUCGUCAACCGCUUCUCUAGUCUCUCCUACUCCAUCCCAGAGGCGGAGGCUGCCGCCAUCGUCAACACCUUCGCCAUCAACGUCCGCGACCCCAAGAUGCGCGAGAAGCUAAGCACGCAUCGGAUCCGGACGACGCAGGAUCUGUACGCCCUGGCGCACAAGUGUGCCAUGGUCGAGGAAGGGCGCUUAGCGCCCGAACUUGCAGCUAAAGCUGCCGCGAGCCCAGGAGAGGGUUUGCUGAAGAAGAUUUCCCGCAACUGCAUGUCCUGUGAGGCAUGUUGCGGCAAGCCUGGCAACUGCAUGUCCCGGGAUGCACGUUGCGGGAAGCCCCGCAACUGCAUGCCCUGUGCCGGAGUGAUCCGGCAGCGGGUUUAUAUUUUCGAGGCUCCGGCAGCCCCCUGCUCACAACCAAGUAUGGAAAGAAACUUCUGUGCACCUAGAGUAGGAGACAGAAGGAGGAGAAACAUGCAAAUAAACAAGGCAAACUUAAAAUUUAGGAAACAUCAGUUAUCUUUAUUCACAAUAACUAGUGGUUUACAUACGGGGGUUGCCUGGCUACACUAGUUCAAGAGGUAUGCAUCGGCGGCAUCACCUGAGGGUCGGGCUCCGUCGCUUCACGGGUAGAACUUGCGCAAGUGCUCAGUAUUCCAGCUAUUUUGCACCGGCAAGCCUUCUUCGAUUUCCAGCCGGACAGCCCCUGGCCUGGUCUCCUGCACUACCCGGAAGGGGCCCUCCCAUUUCGGAGUCAACUUAUUCCCGGCCUUCGUUCCUUGUAUCCGGCGCAGUACAAGGUCUCCGUUCUCGAGCCCCCGGGAACGGACUCGCUUGUCGUGAUAACGACGGAGUCCCUGCUGGUAGCGCGCGGCUCGCAGAGCAACCCGACGUCGAAGCUCUUCGAUGAAGUUCAGAUCGUCAACCCUUUGCUCGUGUUGGCUGGAGUUGCCGUACGCGCGUACUCGGGGAGAUCCGUGCUUGAGCUCGAGGGGCAGCACCGCUUGUCGUAGACAAGGGAGAAAAGGGUUUCGCCCGUUGCCCGACUAGGUGUGGUCCUGAUUAACCACAGCGCUCGUGAAUUGCGUGUCAUUGUCAGUGAUGAUGCCGUUAGGCACACCAAACCGACACACAAUGUUCUUGAAGAACUUGAUGGCUGCCAGGGCGGUCACCUUCCGCACUGGUUCCACUUCCACCCACUUGGAGAACUUGUCGAUGGCCACGAGCAAGUACUCGUAGCCGCCAACCGCUCUCGGCAGCUUGCCGACGAUGUCGAGCCCCCAGACCGCGAAUGGCCACGAGGACGGGAUGACCUGCAGGGCCUGCGCCGGCUGGUUGCUCUUCUUCGCGUGGAACUGGCAUGCCUCACACGUCUUCACCAGCUGCUCCGCGUCGGCCAGGGCCGUGGGCCAGUAGAAACCGUGUCGAAACGCCUUGCCUGCUAGCGCCCGGGAGGCCACAUGGUGGGAGCAUGUGCCUCGAUGUAUCUCCUCCAACAGUGCGCGCCCUUCGUCUUGGGGCACGCAGAUGAGCUUGACUCCAUUUGCAUGCCUCCAGUAGAGGUUCCCGUCCACCGGCGUACAUUUUGGCUUGUCGGGCCACUCGCUCCGCGGCGACGUUGUCUUCCGGGAGGGCCUCUCCCUUCAGGUAGCGGGCGAUUUCCACCGCCCAGGGAGGGGUCUCCCUGCCAACGCAUGCCGCUACGUCAGCAGCAUGGACCCCUGCUGUUGCGGGCUUUCCUUCGGUUGUCGGUGGGGCUUCCCCGGCAACCAGCUUAGGGGCGACUGAAGGAGCCGCCUGCUUGUGGCAGAACACCCCUGCCGGGAGCUUCCGGUGCUCUGUUGCCAUCUUGGACAACUCGUCAGCCGCGAAGUUGUCCUUCCGCUUGAUGUGCUCGAAUCGCAAACCCUUGAACUUGCGUUCUAGCUUGCGGACUUCCUCCACGUACGGUGCCAUCUGCGGGCAGUCGUAGUCCUUGUUAACCUGGUUGACCACGUGCUGGGAGUCCCCGCGAACGACCAGGCGCUUCAUAUCCAGGGCGAUUGCUGCCCGGUGAGCAAACCCUCGUACUCUGUCGUGUUGUUAGUGGAGUUCGGGAAAUCGACUUGGACAGCAAACCUCAACUGAUCCCCCGUCGGUGACUCGAUGACGACCCUAGCGCCAGCUCCCUGGAGGCUGAACGCGCCGUCGAAGUAGAGGACCCAGUGGCCUUCGUCCAGCUUGCCUGGCAGGCUGGUCUCCAGCGCCUCCUCUUCCACACCCGUCGAUGUCCACUCCGCGACGAAGUCCGCCAGGGCCGCACUCUUGAUGCUCUUGGAGUUGGUGAAGUGCAGAUCAAACUCCGACAGCUCCAUCCUCCACUCGGCCACCCUCCCGGUGGCUUCACGGUUGGUGAGGGCUCACUCAAGGCAGAACCUUGACACCACCGUGACGUGGUGCGCCUGGAAGUAGUGGCGCAGCUUGCGGGACGUGAGCAGAAUCCCCAGGAGGAGCUUCUGCACCUGCGGGUACCUCAUACGGGUGUCGCGCAGCACUGUGCUGACGAAGUACACUGGAUGCUGCACGAGCCGCUUGCGCGGUGCCGACGUUGCCGGCUCGGGGGUGGUCCCCUGGUCCGAGGCGGUUGCCGGGGGCCGUUCAGCCCCCUGCCCUGCAGCCUCAGCCCCCGGAACGUCUUCCUCCCUCUCGGCAACCAGCACUGAGCUGACCACCUGGUCAGUCGCUGCUAGGUAGAGUAGCAGCGGCUCGCCCGGCUUGGGGGCAACGAGGACGGGCGGCGACUUCAGGUAUUGUUUAAGAUCCUGGAACAUCGCCUCGGCCUCGGGGGUCCACUCGAUUGGGCCCUUCUUCUUCAUCACUUUGAAGAAAGGCAGGGCGCGUGUGGCGACCCAGACCAUUAAGGUCCUGGAAUCACUGUGUUUAUAGUACUAGUCCCUGGAUCAAUGCUAGUACACACAGUUCACGAUGAAAUAUCAUAAUUCAUGUGUUUAUUACAACGUAUAAAAGAUAACAAUCCAGAGUAUUAUUACACAACGAAAGUCUAAAAUAUCAAAUGAAGAUAAAUGAGCUUCCAUCCACGCCACAGGCAAGUUGAAUGUAGACUCGCGACCGUGCGUACCUCCUUCCUUUAAUUAUCACUCUCUGCACAUGAUAGGUGCAGAUAAGUACAUUGAAUGUACUCGCAAGUAAAUACCUGUGAGGUUAGGAGAAAUGCAAGUAUAUGCUUAUUGGAUAGUUCCUAAAUGGCUUCUAUGGUUCUUUUGCCAAAACAGCAAGUUUCAUUUUGAAAUACUCAUAAUAGCUUUUCUUUGCAAAACUCUAAAUUUAGAAUUUCAUAGAAAAUAGUUUUGAAAAGUAGAUAUGGUCUUUCUAUGGAAUCUCCACGACCUAACUAUGUAUUCUGGGUCAAACUGACGCUCACAUAGCAACCCUUGAUUUCCCUGACCCAUUCUGUGGGAUCCAUCGAGUAGAUACUCAUUCUGUGAAUGCUUCCAUCGAGUCAAAACAGUUUUUGGUUUUUGAAAACAAAACUAGAAGAUCUCCUCUUAACCAGACUUAGUAGCUCAAAGGUCGCCCGUAACCAAGGGCAUGGCUAAUCGAUUAGAUUGACACUCUCGAGAGGUUUGUACACUUUACCCACCAGACACAAUCGGUCCAAAGUGUUGCCUAACGACAAGCGUGCGCAACAGGUAAAGAUUGUGACGAAGUCUUUCACUAGAAGCCCCCUAUACUUAAUCCUGGCACCGCCCGCCCCAUAUGAGCACAUUGGCCCCUCUCCGGAUGACGAUACCCAAGUAAGGGUUUCCCGCUAGUUACUCGACUAAGCCAGAGCCAUAAUAGCAGGUGGUUGUACAUGUAAGCUUUUGGGUUCCAUUGGAAAAGAAUUGAACUUUUAGAUUCUGGACGGCGGUCCCCACCGAAAAUCCUGAGCAUCUGCAGAGCCGAAUUGGGUGCUGCCCUUGUCGACAACCAAUAACGGUCUCAAACUUACCACUCCGCCCAGUUGAAAACAUUUUGAGGAUUUUGUUUCGAAACAUUUUUCCAAACACAUACGACUCAAUUCUGAGCACUUAAUACUUUGAAAAUAGUUUUGGGUCCCUCCCGGUACAAUAAUGUAGCAAGCACUUUGUAAAAUCAUACAAGUAAUAACUUAGGGUAAUUGGUGGCAUGACAAUAACCUAUAGGCAUACUACUUAGGACAUAGCUAAUAAAUUGCAAACGCAUUUUAUAAAUACUUCAUAACAAUAUAAACCUACACAUGCAUGCCUACAACUUAUAAACAAAGUAGCAUAUGCAAAAAUUAUAGGAUUCUAGAUGAUCAAAGGUAUCCACUUGCCUGAGCCUGAGUUGCUGUAACGAUCAAAAUUUCCCUGGCACUCUUCGCACUCACACUCGGGAUAAUCUAUCGCGAAGAACGAAAGCAACAAUGAAUAACUUGUUCAACAACUCCAAAUUAUAACUCCAAUAAGAGCCGGAUAAGAAUUACAAAAACUUAAAUUUAGAAAAGCAGCUAACAAGGCACAAGUAAUGCUAAUCCAACUGCAAGCACAGAUCUAAGGCUAGGGACAAGAUUUGGAACCAAGUGGAGACAAAUGAUAACCUACGAGCUGAUAGCAGAUAGCGAAUCUAACGGGAAGGGGACUGUCGAAACACGUCUGAACUAAUGGUACGGAAGGUACUGAAACUAAUAACAUAACUUAAGGCUUAUAACACAGAAAGUUUCAUCUAAAACGGAGCUACGAAACAAAAGAUACAAGCCUACGAAAGUAGCUAAUCAAAAACAGCAUUCUGUGAAUACAGUUUUCAAUUAUUAUUCUAGUAGUGUAAUCUAAUUACAUGUUACAUGAAAAGUGUUCUGAGGUGUAUAGUUUUAACCAAUGUUUACAUUACGGAAAGAAUAAACGAAAAGGGGUUUAUAGGUUUUAAAAAUUAAGCUCUACAAAGUGUCUAAUCAAUAACAGUGCUGGCUAGACUAAACCGGUGUCUUAAGUUCUUUUUAACAGGUAGCUAGUUUUGACAAACUUUUAGGUCAUACUCUAAACCUACAAAAGGUGAAAAAAAUAACAGGGUGUAACACAAUACCUACUCGUCAUCCUACAGGAGCUCACAACCUAAACGGGUCUACAAUCUACUCAACAAGAACGUCGAAAGGUAUCUAAUCUAAAACAGACUAACUGGGAAUACCGAUUUGGAACGAUGAUGCACCGCUGAAGAUGAUAGAGACGGGGCUUCUAAAGAGGUCUAAUUUAUAGAGCAAGAUGUAAGCUACCAGAUACAAAAAGAAUUUCUUAAAUAGGAUCUACGGAACAAAAGAUACGGAGUAUAGAAGUAGGCUAAUCAAAAUAGACUGCAGCCCGAAAACAGAGCAAGAAAGCUCACCGGAGAAGAUGGAGUUCGCCGGAGUUGACGGGAGUCGGCGAAACAGAGGUUUCCGGAGGCAAGGCUGUGGUGUAUGGUGUUCUAGGCGUCGAUAGGGAUCUAAAGGUGGUGGUGGUUCGGGCUAAUUUGGGGCGAGGUGGUAGGAAUUGCUCGCCGGAGUUUGCGUGGAAACGGCGACAAAACAUGAAAUUGGUGGCAAGGUUGACUGCGGCUUCGAGCUAGAUUUCGAGAGAUUGGUCUGGGCUCUCGAGGACGUCAGCUUGGGAUAUUUAUAGGGCUCGGGGCGCUCGGGAUAAGGCCGGCGGCGGGUGAGAUUUGAACGGGAUUCGGUUUCGCUUAAAAUUCGGACGAGAUAGAGUCCGGGAGGGUUUCAAUCUUGUUGGGAUAGAUUCCUUGCUGUGUGGGUCACGAAUUAGCGAAGAAAUCGCGGAGAAAAACGGUUUGGAGGGUGGUGUUCGAGGUGGACGGCCAUGGACGCCGGUGACUCGAGCUCGAGCUCGGGCUCGGCCAUGGCAGGGGCUGCGGGCGGGCGGCGGGGCUGCGGCGGCGAGGGGCGGAGCCAGGGCGGCGGGGCAGGGGCCGGCGAGCAGCAGCGGCGGCCGAGCUGGGCCUGGCCAUGGACGCAGCCAGCACAGGCUAUGCCUGUGUGCGUGAGGAAGAAGAAGGAGGAAAGGAGAAAAGAAAAAAAAAGAAAAGGAAAAAAGGAAAAAGGAAAAAAAAAAGGAUGGCCGUUGGAUGGGAAAUGGAUGGAUGAGAUUAAAAGAUACCCCUUCGGUACACUUAAGUGAAAACGGAUUUCACGGAAAUACGCCUCCGUGUAGAGAAAACGUACUCCGUGGAAUAGAAGAAAAACAAAUAAAGAAAUAGUUUUUCUGGGUCUCUAAAUUGUCAGAAAAUCAAAUAAGGCAAAUAAAAUACCAAACGGCAUCGGAAAAAUUCCAAAAAAUUCCUGAAAUUCCAAAUACCUGUUUGGAAGCUAGGAAAAAUAGUUUCCUCAUGAAAUAUAAUUUAUAAAACUAUUUUUAAUGCAUAUGGAGCUCAAAUAAAUUGUAACAAAUGCAUAUAAUCACUCUUAUGGUCCAAAUAAACUCCCAAUUAAAUUGUAAGAUCAUCUCCAAAAUCAAAUAUGGUCAAAAUGAUAUGCACGUGACAUGAAAAAAAGGUGAUAACAUCCAAAUUAGAAAAAUUGGGAUGUUACAGCGCGUUCGCCCAGCCUUGAGAUGAAGCGGCCCAGCGCGGCAACGCAACCGUUGAGGCGCUGGACAUCCUUCACCUUGCGGGGAGCCUCCAUCUUCUCGAUAGCUUCUAUCUUUUGUGGGUUGGCUUGUAUCCCCCUGUGCAAAACCAAGAAACCCAGAAGCUGGCCCGAGUCUACACCGAAGGUGCACUUCUCAGGGUUUAGCUUGAGUUUGAUCCUGCGAAGGUUAUCAAACGUCUCUCGCAGGUCAUCAAUCAGCGAGUCCCCGCGCUUUGAGUUGAUGACAAUAUCGUCCAUGUAGGCCUCCAUGUUCCGGCCUAGCUGGGGUCCCAAACACUCGCGCAACGCGCGCUGGAAUGUUGAGCCCGCGUUCUUCAACCCGAAAGGCAUGCACGUGUAACAGUAGCAGCCAACCGGGGUGAUAAACGUUGUUUUCUCCUCCUCUUCGACCGCCAUCUUAAUUUGAUGGUAGCCAGAAAAAGCAUCUAGAAAAGCUCAGCAAGUCACAACCAGCGGUGGAAUCAACUAUUUGAUCGACACGGGGUACAGGGAAAAGAUCCUUGGGACAUGCACGGUUAAGAUCAGUAAAAUCUACACACAUGCGAAGCUUAUUCCCCGCCUUGGGCACUACUACAGGGUUAGGUAACCAAGUGGGGUACAGAACUUCCCUAAUAGCCCCCGCAGCCUUGAGCUUGUCCACCUCUUGCUUGAUGAAAUCUUUGCGCUCCUGUGCUUGCCGGCGAAUCUUCUGCUUGACGGGGCGAGCGUCCGGGCGCACCGCGAGUCGAUGCUCAAUCACCUCCCUAGGGACUCCGGGAAGGUCCGACAGCUUCCAAGCGAACACAUCGGAAUUCUCCCGGAGGAAAGUGAUGUGGGCGCUUUCCUAUUCGGCAGUAAGGUUCGUACCGAGGGUGACGGUGCGCUCCUUGUUGCCAGCUUGGAGGGGCAGCUUCUUCACCUUGGCGGCCUCCUCCCUGAGCUUGUGGCCCUUGCCGAGGCACGAGCUGGAGCCAGCGCUUCCCCCGGCAAGCUCUUGCGGGGCAGCGCGGGCCUUCUUCGUUGCCGGGCCGUCACCCGGCGAGCCUUCGUCUCCGGCAACGUCCUCAGCACCGGCGUCGGCUGGGGCGGUGGCCCUAACGACCUCGCCAAUGCACCUGAUGGAGAGGAUAGCGUACACGGACGGCAUCUUCAUCACGCCGUAGGCGCAAUGCGUCGCCGCCAUGAACUUGAUCAGCGCCGGCCGACCAAGGAUCCCAUUGUAGGGCAACGGGGUGUGCGUCACGUUGAACACUAUGUGCUCGGUCCUAAACGCUUCCGGGGACCCGAAGGUCACCGGCAGCGUGAUGCGCCCCAGGGGGCGCACGAUCCCGGGGUUUCCCCCCCGGAACGGGUCAAUGGGCUUCAGUUGCUCCACCGCCACCGCGCGAGGCCUUCUUUGCAGUCGCCGCGCCUGGGAAAUAAAAGUGCUCACAUCCAAGUUUGGCAUCAACCCUUCUGUGCACGGGGGCUGGGAGGCAGGAGAGUUAUCCAUUCUGCUCUGUGUUUUCGUGAAUUUCGAAAAAAAUUUGCAGCAUCUCGGGCUUGGUAAGAAUCUAAUGUGCAGGGUAAAGGCGGAAUCUUGCGUACUGUAAUGCUCGUGGACCGCCCACGGGCCGGGGCGCAUAGCGGCGCCUUGUGGUGAGGAGCGACCGCAUCACGAGGGACUCGCCGCACUCCGAGGCCCUUGACUCAGGAGGGAGCCGGCACGUGUGCCGCAGCAACUUGGCGUGCGGAGUGGCGAAAACUGUACCGCACUUCAUGGGGCGGGGUGCCACGGGUGCUGCGCUGGCCCGGCGCGCGUGGUGGCAAGCCCCUCCCCCGCGCCUAUAAAAGGGGCGUCCUGGCCAUAAAAGCGGCGGAGCCAGGGAAAAGGCUGCGAAGGUGAGUGGAGCCGCAGAGGCGCGAUGGGAGUGCAUUGCAUCAGUGCCCAACGCCGACGGGUGCACUGCCAUCGUGCCCUUGUCGCAUCCCUCCACCGAGCCCACUCCGAGGGGUGCCGCGGAGACAUGGUGGUGGUGCAUCCCACCAGCGCUCGGCGUCGGCGGGUGCACUGCCGCCGUGUCCUUUCCACACCUCCUCUAGCGAGCGACUCCAGGGCGAGGGCUGCCGCGGAAGCACUGUGGUGGUGCAUUCCAUCAGCGCUCAGCGCUAACGGGUGCACUGCCGCAGUGCUCCUGCCGCAUCCCUCCAGAGGGUAUCUCCGCAAGUAGCAAGGGUUGCCGCGGAGACACUAUGAUGGUGCAUGCCAUCAGCGCUCAGCACCGACGGGUGCACUGCCGUAGUGUCCCUGCCGCACCCCUCCAGAGGGCGCCUCCAGAGGCGAGGGUCGUCGCGAGGACGCUGUGAUGGUGCCGGUGCCGACGCUCGCCGCUCGCUCCGGCCCACCACAGCGUCCCUGCUGCGUCCCUCAGAUGGACUUUCCCCAAGCAGCGAGGGCUGCUGCGGGGACGCCGUGAUGUUUUCGCCACCCGCGUCUGCCGGUGGUGGCGAGGAUGUCACGGCGUCCCUACUGCACCCCUCGGAAUAGGUUCCUCCGAAAGCAAGGGCUCUUCCAAAGGCGAGGGUUGCUGCGGGGAUGCGGCGGUAGCAUCGUCAUCGGCGCUUGUCGCCGGCGGCGAUCCUACCGCGGCGUUCCUGCCGCAUCCUUCAAACAGGCUCUCUCAGGGAUGACGUUCCAGGCGCACACCUUCUGCAAGCGUAUCGAGCACGAGACCAAACGAAAAGCUAAGUGCUUGAACCUAAACGAUAGACUCUCUGAGAACUAAACGUAACUGAACACUGUCUCGCUAAGUGUGGCCCCGAGACCUGCGUGUGGCCGGGGCGUUGGAAGGACACAUGCGGGGGGAGUGCCCUCCCCGUGCGGCUUCCGGGUCCGUCCCGGGAGGGCAUGGCUUGGAGUAGUUACCACGCAAGCGGAGUGGCUCGCCGCUGCUGCUUGACCCCAGGUCGGCACUGCGGGUCCGUCCCGGGUCCCUGGUCCGGUCAAGGGUGAGGCGCGCGAGUCCCCGACAACACAAAGCACAACACAUAAAGGCAAAGGGAUCCACCCCGCGUGGCAGCCCCGGGAACAAGGAACAAGGAUUAAACAGAACUAAAGAGCUGGAUUAACAAAGUAGCAAAUGAUUACAUGAACUAAUGAAACGGUAAUUGUUCAAACGGCGCCAAGCGCCAUGCUUGCAGGAACGAAAACAAAAGAAGGUAAACAAGGAAGCAGCAAGCGCCGGUAGGGGGCUGCGGCAGCUAGUUGCCGGCGUCCUUCGCCGGGGGCUCCGGGGAUGGCUCGGGUUCUGGCUUCUGCUGCAUCCGCUCGACCACCUCGUUGACAAACCCACGCACCGCCUGAGUGUGGGUGGGUUCGUGCUCGCUGUCCGACCAGGCGUCCAGCAGCGUCUCGAAGGGGAACUCCUGGUCCCGGAGGUGCACCCUCGGAAGGAUCAUCUCGGCAACCUCCCGGGCGCAGUUGGCAACCUUGUCAGUCCCAAACUUGGCGAUCCAGACGUGUAGCGAUCAGAUCACUCUUCUCGUCGAUCCGAGCCUGGGCUACAGCGAGCACGUCAGCGUGCUCCUUCUUGGUUUCCGCCUGGGCCACCACCAGCGAGUCCAGAGCUCCUUGGAGCUCGGGGCGCUGAGCCUCCAGUCGCCGGUAGAGCUCCUCUUCGAGGACGACCGGUGUGUCGGCAUCCUCCAAGGCUUCCCGGGCGAGGCGCGUCUCCUCCCGCAGCCGGGAGAGCUCCUGACGCUCCUUCUCCAAGGCCAGCCGCAGCUCGCCAAGAUGGCUCUUGGCGAUCGCGUUGUGCUCCCUCACCUCGUUGGAGGUGACGAAGGCCAGUUGCGGGUCUUUGACAGCGUCAAGUAACCGGUGCCCCCGGUCGAAGACGCUCGGAUCCCAAGUGAUGGGAUUCCAAGCCACCCCGGCAAGGCUGCCAAGGUCGGUGUUGAAGGUGGCAGCCGACGACGACGAAGCCCCCGCUGCCACCGUAUAGCUGGGCGGGGGGUCGUCCGCUUGCGUCGGAGCAUCCUGUUGCUCCUCCUCAGCGACCUCCCCCUCCCUCGCGCUCGGGGACUGCAGUGCUGGUGAGGUUGCUGCAUCCCCGGCAGGGACCGCCCCCUGCUGGGCGGUAGAAGAAUCCGUGCCAGCGACGUCUGCAGUCGCUGACGCGUCGUCGAGUGCCGUCCCGGUGACGGCAGUGGUCGUCGCUGCCGCCACGGCCGGCGCAGCAGGGCUUGGCGUGGGGACUGCCUCCGGCUCCUCCGCCCUCCCCUUAUCCUCAACGUCGGAGUCGAGGUCAACUACCGUAGCGCCCGCUUCCGGUGCGGGCGCGCUUGGGCCUGCAACAGCGAGAAGUAUGAGAAGUGGGAAGCUAGACGUGUUGCCCGAAGGCAGACGCGGGGGCUUAGGAUGGUUACCUUGCGAGGCCACUGGGCUUGCGGGGGGAGCCUCCCCCUCCUCCUCCGUCCCGGCAAGGGUCUCCGGGAGGCUUGCUGCGGGCGGAGCAUUGCCUGCGAAAAUAAGAAGGAACAGUUGCAGGAUUAACUGGCAAAUGGAAGUGCAGGUAAGUAAGCGUGGGGUGCCAUACCUGUUGCCGGCGCCACCUCCAUCGGGGCUGGGUCGCCGGCGGAUGCGGUGGCGGCGCCACUAGCCCCUGUGUCGGCCGGGUUAGCGUCGCUGCCAGCGCCCGUGCGCGCCUUCUUGCUCGGCGCGGCCGACGGGGAAUCAUCCCUCCCCCUCUUGCCGGCGGUUGCCGACGAAUCGGCCUUCGGGGGGUUGCGCCGGAGCGUGAAGCCCUGGAAGAACCCCUGAGCGGGUGGGUUCGUGAGUGCCCGAGGGGUUGCCGCGGCCCGGGGCGCCGCGGGAACCGUCGAAGGGGUCGCCGCGGUGUCGGGGGCUAUUGCUGGUGUGGCUGCCGCCGUGGUUCCAGCAGUUUCUGCUGAGGUAGCCGCUGCCGGGUUGCUGGCAGUCGCUGCCGGGGUGGUCACCGCGGUGGCUCCGGCAACCGCUGCUGGGGAGGUCGCCAUUGAGGUGCCGGCGGAGGCCCCCAAGGCGGCUGCCGUCGCGGAGCUGGGAGCCGCCGCCGGGUCGCUAGCGGGCGCUGCCGAGGUGGUCACCGCCGUGGCUCCGGUAACCGCUGCGGGGGUGGUCGUCACUGAGGUGCCGGGGGACGCCCCCAGGGCGGCCACCGUCGCGGAGCUGGUAGCCUCCGCAGGGGCGGAUGCCAUCGUCGCCGCCGUGGUGGUGGCCGCGGCCACUGCGUGCGCCCUUGAUCCGCGCACAAUCAGGGGCGCGUCGUCGCUGUCCUCCUCCGCGUUGUCCACAAGGAUGACCUCCCGGGCGGCGGCAACCCGACCCGGCUCGUCGUCGGAGGACGAGUCGUGGGGCUGGCUGGCCCCUGACUCGCUCCCGCUCUCCUCCUGCACCUGCUUCCCACGGGGUGCGGGCGGAGGAGAGCGUAGGGACUGAGUAGGGGUAUCGUCCAUCAGCCCCCACUCGUUGCAGGGUGGGAAGGAGCCGAUGAUGCUGCUCAAGCCGGGGACGCCGACGUGGAGGGCAAAAAACCCCGGCGGCAACUUCGUGAUGGGAACAUCCUCGCGGGAGAUCCCCCUCACCCACACCUGGAGCGACUCCUUAUCCAUGCCCUCCUCGCGGAGGCGCGUCCUGUGUCUGGCCCCCGUGUACGCCCACGCGGGGAGGGAACGCCGCUGAAGCAGCGCGGUGCGCCGGGUGAUGUAGACCCGCGCCACGUCAAGAUCAAAGAGCCCGGCUACCCGGAGGGCCUUGAUCUUCUCCACGAUGGGGAAGAGGUCGGCGUCACGGUGGUACCGGUCCCGCCACCCGGGGGCCUCCACCGGCAACUCGGUGGGCGGGAAGAUGAACUCCUCGGGCUUAUCCACUUGGACCCAACACCAGUCCGAGCGCCACUCCUUCUCGAUCUUCUUCUCCAACCGGACGAUGAACUCUGACUUCAUCCGGUCGCGGGCACGGAAAACCACCCCCGACGACAUCGCUUUCUUGUUAUCGAUGCGGGGGUAGAAGUAGUGCCGGAACAAUGCCACCGAUGGCAUCACUCCGACGAAUCCCGCGCAGAGGAAGGAGAAGAUGGCGAGGAGGUAGAGGCACAUGUGGUGAAGUUGCGCCACCCGCAGCUGGUAUGACUCCAUGAGCGCAGGAACAGGGAAAACGGCGUCACCAACCCGGUGAGUAUGAAGCGCGCGAACACCCGGAAGUCGGUGGACCCGACGUUGGCGCCGGCGGGGAAGAUCAGGGUCCUCCCGUGCUCAUUGAAGUCCGAGGCGACGGCGUGCUGGUGUUUGCCCACCGCCUCGCCGUUGAAGCCGGGUCGGAAGAAGGCAAGCGUGGCCCGCAUUUCUUGCUUCUUCAGCUCUUUCUCUUCGGCGGCCUUGGCGGCCGCCGCGCUCUUGCCCUUCGGGGGCUUCGCCUCCUUUCCCUUCCUGGUGGUGGGGGGCGCCAUGGGGACCGAGGGCGGAAGCUAGCAAGGCUCUUGGACGCAAGAUGCGAAAAGCUGGAGGAAGAAGGCUGGGGGGCUAAGUGUUUCCCCCUCAGCGCAGCAGUAAAAGCUUUAUAACACUCCGUCGUUUGGUAACGGCCGGUUCCGCACCCUACGGGUACGCUGGGAUAGUUACCAAUCAGAAGGAUAAUGCGAAGAGUGGCCUUAACUUCCCUGUUUAAGGGGGAGGUCACAGCGGAAAUCUCGCACCCACUACUCCGCCCGUAACGGCGGGGUCACUGGAAGACGAAGAGACGCGGGCCCGAGGCGAAUCGGGACCCACGCGUCGGUUGAGGCGUAGCCUGACAACCGGCCGGGGAAGGGUUUACCCGGGAACAGGUGUUGCCGGCCCACGCCCGGGGGCUACUGUCGCACCAAUGGCACCCGGGGUGCCACCGCAGCACGACGCGUGGGUCGCAUCGCUGGGAUCCCAGAAGGAUCUCACCCCAGGCGGCAACGUGCAGGCUGCCCGGCAAGCUACCAGCCCGGCAGGGCUAGCGGGGUUUCGGGGAAUAAUCCUGCCUGGGCACCUCCCAGGAAGGCGCUUGCCGGGAGGAGGUGUUCCCAGGCACAGGUUUCUGCCGCGAGGGCGGGGCUGAGCGAACAGAGCAGCAGCGCCACGUGGGCGCGCGGCAGGCGCCCGGUGUGCAGGGUCGUCAGGACAAGCGGUGAGGCGCAUGACGCUUUUAAUGAGCCGACAGAAGGGGCGUUGUCCGUCUAGUCGGGCAAAGAGUGGCUGCCCAGGGCUAGUUUUUGGCCUUAGACCCCUAGCCGCGGGGUUGGCGCUCAUGCAUGCGUGCCAGCGCACCGAGGAGGAGCUGCCCAAGCUCCUUGCUCGCCACUUGUAAUCCAUGCACCGUGGCACCUGUGGUAUCCCCUUGGCUAUGAAAGGAGGACCCCCGCCAACGGUCAAAGGGUUCAGUCUUUGGUUCGUUCGUUCGUUCGCUCAUUCAACCAACAAGCAGUUCACCACUAGUAGUAGCCAAAAGUAGCAAGGAGCACUUAGCCAAAAAAAGAGAGCACCCAGGGACCCUUCCCCUGCAACUUGUAAACACUCGAUCUUACGAUAAUACGAGCUCAAACAAACAGGAUGUAGGGUUUUACACCGCAAGGUGGCCCAAACCUGGGUAAGUAGCGUUUUCGUGUUCGUUGCAUUCUUACGCUUUGCAUUGGCCUCGCCGGAGCGAUCCCCGUAGCACACUGCCGAACCUAAAAGGGGGUGCCCGCGCAUCCCCGGUGUCGGAGCCCCGUGCGACGACAUCCGGCGGCCGGCGAGCUCCGAUCUUCGAGCCAGAAGCUUCCCUCAGCUUCUCGAUGGCUUCUAUCUUGCUUGGGUUUGCUUGUAUCCCCCUGUGUGAGACCAAGAAACCCAGAAGCUGACCUGAGUCCACACCGAAGGUGCACUUCUUGGGGUUCAGCUUGAGCUUGAUCCUGCGGAGGUUAUCAAACGUUUCCCGCAGGUCAUCAAUCAGCGAGUCCCCGCGCUUUGAUUUGAUGACGAUGUCGUCCAUGUAGGCCUCCACGUUGUGGCCUAGCUGGGGUCCCAAACAUUCGCGCAGCACGCGCUGAAAUGUUGAGCCCGCGUUCUUCAACCCGAAAGGCAUGCAUGUAUAACAAUAGCAGCCAACUGGGGUGAUGAACGCUGUUUUUUCCUCGUCUUCGACCGCCAUCUUAAUUUGAUAGUAGCCGGAAAAAGCAUCUAGAAAACUCAACAAGUCACAGCCAGCGGUAGAGUCAACUAUUUGAUUGAUACGGGGUACAGGGAAGGGAUCCUUGGGACAUGCACGAUUAAGAUCAGUAAAAUCUACGCACAUGCGAAACUUGUUCCCUGCUUUAGGUACUACUACAGGGUUAGCUAACCAAGUGGGGUACAGAACUUUCCUGAUAGCCCCGGCAGCCUUGAGCUUGUCCACCUCCUGCUUGAUGAAAUCUUUACACUCUUGUGCUUGCCGACGAAUCUUCUGCUUGACGGGGCGGGCGUCCGGGCGCACUGCGAGCCGAUGCUCAAUGACCUCCCUAGGGACUUCGGGAAGGUCCGACGGCUCCCAAGCGAGCACGUCGGCGUUCUCCCGGAGGAAAGUGAUGAGGGUGCCUUCCUAUUCGGCAGUAAGGUUCGCACCGAUGGUGACGGUGCGUUCCUUAUUGCCGGCUUGAAGGGGCAGCUUCUUCACCUUGGCGGCCUCCUCCCGGAGCUUCUGGCCCUUGCCGGGGCAUGAGCUCGAGCCUGCACUUCCCCCGGCAAGCUCUUGCGCGGCAGCGCGGGCUUUCUUCAUCGCCCGGCGAGCUGUCGUCUCCGGCAACAUCUUCGUCGCCGGCGUCAGCUGCGGCGGCGGUCCUGACGACCUCACCCACGCACCAGGCCACGUCCUUGAGGUCGCACCUGAUGGAGAGAACUCCAUAUACGGACGGCAUCUUCAUCACGCUAUAGACGCAAUGCGUAACCGCCAUGAAUUCGAUCAGCGCUGGCCGACCAAGGAUCCCGUUGUAGGGCAACGGGGUGUGUGCCACGUCGAACACUAUGUGUUCGGUGCUGAACGCUUCCCGGGACCCGAAGGUUACCGGCAGCGUGAUGCGCCCCAGAGGGCGCACGAUCCCGGGGUUCACCCCCCGGAAUGGGUCGGUGGGCUUCAGCUGCUCCACCGGCAACUGGAGUUUCUCCACCAGCCUGGCGGACAGGAGGUUAAGCCCCGCUCCGUUGUCCACCAGUACCAUUGUCACCGUCAUAUUGCUGAUGAUCGGUGAGACGACGAAGGGUAUUACCCCUGAACCCAGCUGCCGUGCUGGGUGAUCGUCAGCGCUGAAGGUGAUCGACACAUGCGACCACCUCAGCGGCUGUUGCGGCUCCACAUCCGGCAACAGCGCGCACAUGUCGCGGGUGAGGCGCUUCACCGCGACAUCGGAUGGGAGAGCAUAGGCUCCCCCAUGGAUGCAGGCAACACCGCGAGGCUCCUGGAAGCCCGGCUCGUCGCCGCCAGUGCAAUCGGACUCGCGCUGCUCCUCAGCGCGAGCCCUGUCGCAUCCCCGGGGAGGGCGCUCCCUGCCCGCGCGGGCCUGGCCGCGUCCCCCCUGGGGUUCGUCCCUACCGGCACCGCCGCCGGCAGGCCUCGGCCCCGCUCUGGAGUCAUUCGGGCAAUCUCGGAAGAGAUGCCCGAUGUCGCCACAGUUGAAGCAGGCUCCAGCAGCGUGGUGCUCCUCAUGGCGUUGCUCGCACCGCUGCUUCACUCGCUGCAGGAUGCGGCAGUCCUGCGCGUCAUGGGUGGAGUUGCUGUGGAUGGGGCAGCGGGGCGCGUCACCCUACUUGCCACCAGACCCGCCACCCGGCGAGGCCUUCUUUGCAGGCCUCGCGACAGGAACCCCCGAGUCUGCAACGAGAACCUGCUUCCCGCUGCGCUUGCAGGAACCCUUGUUCGGCGAACCCACGCCAGGGCUCGCGGCAGCUUUGGCUGCUAGCUCGGGCGCCCAUGGCGCACUUGUGCGCCAAGGCAUAUAGAUCCUGCGUCGUCCGGAUCCGAUGCGUGCUCAGCUUCUCGCGCAUCUUGGGGUCGCGGACGUUGAUGCCGAAGGUGUUGACGAUGGCACCUGCCUCCACCUCCGGGAUAGAGUAGGAGAGGUUGGAGAAGCGGUUGACGAAGCUCCGUAACAUCUCCCCCGGCUUCUGCACGAUGGUGUGCAGUUCCUCCAUGGUUCCCGGGCGCUUGUAGUCGCCCUGGAACGCGCUCACAAACUGGUCGCGCAGGUCCGCCCAAGUUGCGAUGGACCCGGCAGGCAGGUUGAGCAGCCAGGUUCUCGCUGAUCCUUUCAGGACCAUUGGGAAUCAGUUGGCCCUGACCUUGUCGUCGGCGCCGAUGGCAUGCAUUCCCAACGUGUAGGUCAGGAGGAAAUCCUUGGGAUUCAUGAUCCCGUCGUACGUGCCGAGCGCUGGCGCUCGAAACUUGCGGGGCCAUGUCACCCGGCGCAGCUCGCGCGUGAACGCGGUGCAGCCGUCCUCGAGGCCCAUGGGAGCGUCUUCCUGCUCCUCUAGGCACUGGCGCUCUACCUCGCGCCGACGCCGGCGCUCCAGGGUGCCAUGCGCGUCACCCCGCGCGACGGUGGGUGACGAGUCCGAGGAUCUUUCUGGGUCCCCGUUUCCCUGGCCUCCCUACGGGGGAGGGUUUUCCCUCUGCAGCGAGGCGCGGGGCGCGUCUCCGCGCGCCGGGUCUGGCCCGCGGCCGGAGCCUGCCGGGACACCCUCGCCUUGCGGCUGCUGGGCGGCCAGAACGAGGAGCGCGUCCAACUCCUCGCCCCACGUCUCGUGCGCCGGCGUGCCUUGCUGCGGUUCAUACCGCACCAUGACCCGCGCGGCGAUGAUGGCUUCCGCCGGGGUUCGUGCGGGGGGCAGCCGAUUUCCCGAGCGGCUGCUAUCCGCUCUAGACCCGGACGCCUCCAGGUGCGCGGGGUGUGAGCCCCCGGGCGUCGCAUGCGACGCGGUAUGCUCGUUGCUCAGCUGACGCUGCGCGCCUUCAGCCCGCGACUCGACUCGCUGGCCGGCGGGGGCGGCGCUGCGCCCGCUCGCCUGGCUGGCCCCGGCACUGGGGGCCGCCGGCCCCCUCGGCCGAUUAUCUGCUGUCGGCCGAGGAGGUGGGGGUGGUAGUUGUGAUGGCUCGGGAUCACCCUGUUCCUGCGACGCGCGUGGCACGUCGUGCGACCGCGUGUGCGCCGCUGGGGCCUCACGCAGAUCAAUCCUCGAGUCACCAGCCCGCUUGGGGGGCAUGGUGGUUUGCUCUGUCGCCGGAAAGAGGGUAGCUAAUGCUGGCGUAGACGUCGCCGCCGACAGUCACCGGCGAGCUCUCCUCUAGCGCCCCCUACCUGGCGCGCCAGAUGUCAUCGCGCGGGGCUCCAACACCGGGGGCGUGCGGGCACACCCCUUUUAGGUUCAGCAGGGGCGUCGGGGAUCGCUCCGGCGAUCGCCGGCGUGGCCGAUGGCGUACAGGAACUGCAAACUAAUGUACCCAAAACACAUGCAAGCUAAGGACAAUUGCAUGCACGCUUUUUACCCAGGUUCGGGCCACCCUGAGGUGUAAAACCCUACGUCCUGCUUCUGAGUUCGUAUUACCACAAAACCAGGUGUUUACAGGUUGCCGGGGGGGGGAGUCCCUGGGUGCUCUCUCUUUUCGGCUAAGUACCGCUUGCUACUUUGGGCUAUUGCUAGUACUGAACUGUGAACUGGUCCAACCAACCCUCCUGACCGUCGGCGGGGGUUCUCCUUUUAUAACCAAGGGGAUGCCACAGGUGCCACGGUGCAUGCAUUACAAGUGUCGAGCAGGGAGACAUGGCAACUCCCCCUCGGUGCGCUGGUGGACGUGCAUGAGCGCCAACUCCGCUGCUAGGGGUCUAAAACCCUAAAAGUAGGAUCGGACAGCCACUGUUCCCCUGACUUAGACGGGUAACGCCCCUCCUGUCGGCUCAUUUAUUGCGCCGUGCGCCUCACUCCUCGCCCUGGCGAGACUGCACACUCGAAGCAUGCCACGCGCCCGCGUGGCGCUGCUGCUCUGCCUGCUGGGCCCCACCCCAGUGGCGGGAGCCCGCGCCCGGGAACCCCUCCUCCCGGCAAGUGGCUUCCGGGGGGCGCCCAGGCCUGACCACAUCCGGGAAACCCCUCCCGGCAAGUGGCUUCCCGGGGGGCGUCCCGGCGGGAAUAUUCCCCGAAGCCCCGCUAGCCCUUCCAGGCUGGUAGCUUGCCGGGCUGCUCGUGGCUGCAGCCCAGGAUGAGACCCUCCCGGGAAAUCGGAGACGAGGCCCACGCGUCGCGCAACGGUGGUACCCCGGGUGCCACUGGUGCGACAAUUGUUGUAUGUGAUUAAUCAUUCUUCGUAGCCAUACACUUUCACGAGAUGCUUCGUAUAGGGCUAUUAUUUCCGAAUGAUUUGUGGAUGUAGCCACUAAAAUCUGUUUAGAAGACUUUCAUGAUAUGGCUGUCCCACCGUGCAGGAACACGAAACCAGUCUGGAAUCUGGCAUUGUGGGUAUCAGAUAAAUAGCCAGCAUCAGUGUAUCCGAUUGAUUCAGAGGCUUGGUUUUCCUUUUGGAAAUAUAGACCUAAAUCUUUAGUGUCUUGUAGGUAGCGAAACAUUUGCUUGACUCCUACCCAAUGGCGUUUUGUUGGAGCUGCGUUGUGUCUAGCUAGUAAAUUUACUACAAAUGCAAUAUCCGGCCGGGUGCAAUUUGCUAAGUACAUUAAUGCUCCAAUGGCACUAAGAUAUGGGAAUUCAGAUCCCAAAAUUUCCUCUCCAUCACCUUUUGGUCUGAAUGGAUCUUUCUCUACGUCUAGCGAUCAAACUACCAUAGGUGUUUUACAUGGAUAGGAUUUGUCCAUGUUAAAUUUCUCCAAGAUUUUUUGGAUAUAUGUAGCUUGGUGAACCCAUAUUCCCGAAGGAAGGUGCUCAAGUUGUAACCCUAAGCAGAAUUUGGUUUUACCCAAAUCUUUCAUUUCAAAUUCCAUCAUUACAUGAUUCCGAGCUUCAUCAAUAUCCUGUUUGUUGCCAAUGAUGUUUAAAUCAUCAACAUAUACAGAGAUAAUGCAAAAUCCUGUUUUGGAUUUCUUGAUGAAUACACAUGGGCAGUCAUUAUUGUUAGAGUAACCUUUUUUAAUGAGAAACUCACUUAGUCGGUUGUACCACAUUCUACCCGACUGUUUUAGACCGUAUAAAGAUUUAUUCAACUUUACACAGUACAUGUUGCGUCUUGCGUUAGCAUUCGGAAUUUGGAUUCCAUCGGGAACCUUCAUGUAAAUAUCCGAAUCUAAUGACCCAUAAAGAUAUGCAGUCAUGACGUCCAUCAACUGCAUAGAUUAAAUAUCGAAAAGUAAUUCCACUCAUAACCGGAGAGUGUGUUUCAUUGAAAUCAAUGACGGGUCUCUGCGUAAACCCUUGUGCUACUAGCCUUGCUAUGUAUCUCACCACCUCAUUGUUUUCGUUCCUUUUCUAGACAAAAACCCAUUUGAAUCCCACUGGAAAAACAUUUGGAGGUGUAGGUAUUACUUCUGUAAAUACCUUUCUUUUAUUGAGCGAGGCUAUUACUGUUUGAAUUGCAUCCUUCCAUUUGGGCCGGUCGGAGCGUUUUUCACACUCAGCUAUGGUCUUUGGAUCAUGAUCAUUUAGAAGGUUGUCUGCGAUCUUAGUUGAGAAAUAUGUGUCGACGAAUGUAGUCUUUCUAUUAUAUGUUUCUCCAGUGUCUAAAUAAUUUGUGGAAAUUUCAUUUACCUUUGGUGACUAUUCGCGAUUUCCCGUUGCGGUAAUGUCUAGGUUUUCCGAUAUCCCAGCAUCAGUAAUUGAGUGCACUAUUGAGCUGGGUUGUGGAUGUUGGUUAUCCACAGGGUGUAUAUUACCCAAUUGAUCUCGGUCAAUCAAAUGUUGACUCAAAUUUGUUGUUGUUGUUGAAGGAGGUCCAGAAGGUUUAUUCUUCCGUUUUCUUUUGCUGCGGUUCCUUCGUUUGUUCCUUUUGUUGCUUGCUGGAAGCUAGAUCCUUUUAAGUUGUCGUACUUCUCCCCCUCUUCCUUUGAACGGUAGGUGCAGGAGGUUGAGUGGUUUUUAUAGGUACCUCCACUCUUUCUGGUACGUUCUGUGCAGGAUUAUAGGAUUUAGUUAUAUCUUUGUAAUCAACAAAUGCGUCUGGUAAAUUGUUUGCAAUAUGUUGCAAAUUUAUAAUUUUUUAAACUUGUUGUUCAGUUUCUUGAGUACGUGGAUCAGAGGCGGAAAUGCCUUGGACAUUCCAAUUGAUUUCCUGGCAUUCUUGUUUUUGGUUGGGUAUAUAUAACAGAAUCAUUGUGCAGAAUCAUUACUAUUUUCUGAGAAAUCAGCCUUGGCUGGGUAUAUAUAACAGAAACGAAACAAUGUUAAUAUAAACAUAAGACAUCAUUUAUCUCUUUGUCAAAAAAAUAAACAUGCUCAUCAGUGAUAACCAAGCUCAUUAGUAUAUAUUUUUUAUAAUUUUUGUCAGCUCAUUGACACUUUAUGCGCUGGAAAUCAAGUAGUUGCCCAUUUAGAAAUUAUCUGCAGCUUUGGUCGACUGCCCAGUGCCCUUUGAGGCUAUGACACAUAUCCCUACUUAACUGGCCAAUGCAUUUCUGGGCUCACCCUGCGCAAUGCCCACUACACCCAAACCACCCACCUGAAACGAGUGAUAUUAGCCUGAUAAAAGAGUGACUAUAAUCUGGUAAUCAAGUGACAUUAAUAUGGUAAACAAGAGAUUAUAACUUGGUAAAUUUUGACAAAAAAAAUUGUCGUCAAAACAUAUCAACGUAACAGGUGAAAAUGGAUCGUUAAUUAGGGUGCCCGUGGAGUCGUUGCUCUUUGUUUUGAGGGGUGUGGAGUUGUUGCUCUGCAGGUUUGUUUCGCGGGGAAGCAGAAGAUUGCACCGAUCUGCAUGUUUCUUUUUCCGUUCUUUCUUUACUGUGGCUGUACUAACACAUGAUGAGAAUUCUAAAAAAAAACACAUGAUGAGAUUUUUAACAUCCCGAAAUUUCAAACUUUUACAUAUGCAUUGCAUCCAUGAGCAUCAUGCCACAAUUGCAUAUCUAAAUUCAAAUUUGAAUCUCAAAAGGUUUUGAAAAGACUCUAUUUCAAUUUAAACCCUAGGGUUUGCACCCUUUUGAACUUUGGAUCUUCAAACCAAUAGGGUUUAAUUAUAAAAGGGGUUUAUUGCAUAUAAAAGCUAUCCCAUAAUUUUUUGGAUAAUUAUUUGGAGUUGAAAACGUAUUUUAUUCAAAUAGUUAUAUAGCCCUAAAGACAUUUAUAGGGCAAAUGUAUUUUUUAUAUAUUUUAUUUUGAGGGGAAAUCACUCCCAAAAGUUGAAUCAUGAUAAGACAUGAUUUUACAAAUUUUCUGGAAUUUGUUUGGACCAAUUUGGAGUUCAAAAUCAAAGGAUAUCAAGGAAAUAAGAAAAAGGGAAAAAGAAAAGGCCAAAAGAAAAAAAAAUAGAGAACCGGACCGACCCAACUGGACCGGCCCAGUCUUGCGCGUGCCCCCUCGCCCGCGGCCGCGGCCCAGCCCCGCGCGCCCCCGGCCCAGCCGCCCGCGAGAGUCGCUGACGAGCGGGGCCCGCUCGUCAGUCGUCUUCCCCAAGCAGGCGCCCGCCUUUCUCGCCGGACACCGCGCCGACUGCCGCCGCCCUCACCGCCGCCAAUUCCGGCCUCGAUCCGACAUUCCCCGCGCGUCAUAUUAAAGCCCUCGUGCCCCUCUCUCAUUUUCCUAUUUCCCCGCUUGCGAUUGCGCCCCGGUUUCACUGCAAUUUCUCGCUGAAGUUCAUCCCGUCCGCCGCCGUUUUUGCUCCGUCGCCGCCGCUCCGGUGAGUCCCGCGCACCGCCGACCCUCUCCCCUUCCUCCUCUCUCCAGCGCGAACCCCCGCGACGCGCUCGCUUUUGUGUUUGGACAACCGCGCCGCCUCCGCCCGCACCGCGCGCCGCCUCUGACUCUGGCCGCGCGCCGCCCGCAAACUGCCUCCGUCCCGCGCGCCCCUCGCCGCGCCGCUGCCCGCCGUCCCCGCGUGCCGCCCCGCACCGCGCCGGCCGCCUGCGCGCUGCCCUGCGCCGCGCCCCCCCGCCACCUCCACCCCGCGCCGGCUGCGCCGCCCGGGUAAAACCCUAGGCGCUCGCCGGUGCCACGCCGCCACGUGGCAGGUUUAUCUUUUUAGUUUUUGUUUUAUUUUCGGCCGAAAUAAAAGUGCACAUUUGCAGAAAAUCCCCCAGUUUAUCAAACCGUCAUAACUUUUAAACCGCUUGUCCAAAAUUCAUGAUCCACACCUUUCUGGAAUCGUCACAACUUGUAGAAUAUUUUGACACUGAUUAAAUUUAAAUUUGAAUUUUUGAAUCACAGUCAAAUUACAGAAUAGGUUUUUAUGCCAUUUAAUUCAUAACUAAUUAUCUAGGAGUCCUUUUUAAUCGAAACCAAUGCCCAAAAUUUUUUUUAAUGUUCUCUGUCCAAUGGGACAGAGAAAUAAAUAUUUUGAAUUAAUUUAUUUGACUGAUGCCAAUAAAACCUCAUUUUAGGGUUUAAACCCCAACCUUUGCUAAUUGUUUAAAACCCUAAUUACAUGUAUUUAAUGAUCAAUGCUUUGGACCAGUAGAUCACCCGAAUAAAAUAAACCAAGUCAUGUGACAUGUUGCAUUGCAUCAUAGCAUAUCUUAUUUUGUCGUGAUGUGAAUUGUGUGUUUAUGUAUGUGUAUGUUUGUUUGUCUCGUAUAGUUUUCUCAGAGAGCGAGUCUUGCGAGUGUGACGAGUGUUUGAACUCGAACUACUGUGACAAAGGCAAGUUUACUUUGACCAUCAUCCCAUUAUUUUAUUACGCACUAGAUUUUAUUAGUUGCAUUGUUAGGAUUAUUAUUGUAUCUAUGUUAUGCUAUGAUUCUCCUAGUAGUAUAGGAUACCUUUGCCGUGACUUCACCACCAAUUGCCAUCGUAGUACCAAAAUGCUAUGCUAUGAUAAUAUAUGAGGGUGGUAUUAUUACAAUGUGAUACUAUUGAAUUACAUUAUGAUUUUUCCUAGUGUAUGGCAAAACAAGUAAUUCAAUGAAUCGUCCUGGGUGGGCUGCUUUGAGUUUUCGGAUGUCGUGACGUUAGGUCCAUUUCUUUGGGGCCCGCUGAGUCGUCUCUCCGUGUGAUUCGGGAGCGUCCAUGGUCGUCUCCCCAUGCGAUUCGGGGAGCGUCUGCGUCACAAUGUGGGAUGUCACCCGGGAUAAUCAGAGACUGGACUAGUUUCUUGUUUAAUAGCUUCCAGUACAACCACAUGGUAAUAUGGGCUCUGCCAGGAUGGAUGUAAGCCAUAUGAUCCUGGAUCCGAGGGAUUGUGCAGAUGUAGCUGUGUAGGUGGGAACGUAGGUCCCUCAGGUGGUCCGGGUGAUUAUGGUCUGAAAAUUCUUGUAAUCGAUGUCGUUGCUACUCUACCCUGAGGACAGCAAGGGAUUAACAUGUCGAUUUCUGUGGGGAAUGUGUACAACCUCUCGAGAGUGUCAAACUAAGUACUUAGCCGUGUCCCCGGUUACGGACAAUCAUGAGCAACUAGAUAUGGAGGCUGUAAGGAAGGUCUCACUCAUUCCAAUUUCUUAAAUAAAAUGAAUGGUUUGAACAGGGUAGGGGCACUUGAUGUAUCUACUCAAUGUGCUUUAGGUUAAUAGGAGCAUGGGUGUUUCUACCCCGUGUCCAAUAGUGAUAAAACUAUUUAAUAAAAUGAUAGGAUGUUACAUUGAUGCUUGUAUGCAAUUUGCCAAACCCCACCUAGCCAAAUACUGCAUAUAAUUGACAGGAUCUGUUAUAACCAUUUUGUGAAUUUGCCAAUACAUUCAAUGUAUUGACCCCCUAUUGACCCCUAGUGGUUACAACGUUUAAAUGUUGCAGGUGAAUCGAGUGAGGAGUGAGGUACGAAUUGUUAGGGUUACAAGUUUACAUUCCGACACGUUUCAACUGUGGAGUUGUUAUGGGACUCCUACAUCUUCUGCAUUCCGCUGCAAGAUUUUAUCUUCUUUGAGCUAACCCACGAGGUUAUGCAAUAUGUAAGGUUCUGGAUCAAUGCGAUGUAAUAUACUUUUGACCUUUCUAUCUUGAUAUUACAUCUUGAAAUUGUGUGUGCUAGCGAGUCGAUUCAGGGACUAGCACAGUAAGCACAGAGAUCAAACCCUAGUAAGGGGAGAUCGCUUCAAGAUUUAAGUAGGAAAAAAAACACAUGAUAAGAUUUAUAAACUUUUUUUCUAAAUUAUAAUUACAAAAUGCGACUUGAUUCUUCCUAAAAACAACUUAGAGUUGAUAGACAAGAGAAAUCACCUCAAAAAACAAAAAAAUAGACAAGAGAAAUGUUCACGUGAACUAUUGUUUUUGAGACAUUCCAACGUUUAUAAUCAUGGGUCAAACAAAAAUGUCCAACUAGGUUGUAUAAAAUGUUCAACAUAGUUCUAAAAAACUAGAGCUGAUAUUUUUCAAAAAAUUGUUCACAUGAAUAUUUGUAUUGCACAAAAAUGUUCAAGUAGCUUGUCAAAAGUGUUAUAGUGUCGUGUGAAAAAUGUUUAACAACUAAACUCUGUUACUAAAUGAGAAUGUCUGAUGUGCGUACACAUAUCGGACACACACUGUCGUACACAAAGCAAGGAAGCCUAGUCUGCCGUGGUCCGUUGCACAUCACUGGAGUUUUUAGGUACAUAGCCACCCGUAGAAAUUUCGCACUUUAGCAACUAUCAGUAUUUUAUACAGAUUCACUGGAGUUUUUAGAUACAUAGCCACCCGUAGAAAUUUCGCACUUUAGCAACUAUCAGUAUUUUAUACAAAUUCAUGUCAACGGAGGGAGUAAUAUAAAAUAAUUUUUCUGCUGGGUAGCUGGUCCUAGUGUGCUCUCCCUGCUAGUGCAAAACGGCAACGGUCAAGCCUCAAGCGAAUCCCCCAACGGCCUCCGUGAUUUCACCUCACCACCCCCACCACCAAAACUGGAGCCGCACAUGGCGCGAUGGCAUCAUGGCAAGGCCACCAUCGGCAAAACUGUCUGCUUAACGAGAGAAAACAAAGACGAUUCUUCUUACCAGCACAAACACACAAGUUAAAGUGUACUACUGCACGGUGAUAAUGGCUCUCGCAGUCUCGCUGCAGUAAUGCGAGUUUACGGGCCUCUCUCAUUGCAGAAGUCAUGGCCACCCAUGACAAGCAAUGAAGGCUCCUCCUCCACUUCCCAUCAACGCACUGGUCACCGGGCGCCCGCACUGGUCUCAGCAGUGGCGGAACUCACGGCUCCGGUUGUGUGCUCGGCAGUUCCCACACACUCCUCUUUGUUCCGCUUGCUGCUUUCCACUAUAAAUCAGGCCACCACCUUUCCGGUACGCUACUCCAUCGCUCAUCAGUCCCCAUUCCCCUGCUUUCCCCCCCUUUGUACUGUGUUGCCAUUUGUACAGAGUUAGCCAACCCGGCAACGAAGCCCUGAGCAUUGGGGCUUGGGAUUUCUCGAAGCCAUAAAAGAGACGGAGAGCCCCCAAAAAGAAGUCUACCAGCACGCCUGUCCAAGCAGCCGCAGCAUAGCUGCUAGCUAGUACUACAAGGAAAAGGAGGGGAAGGGCGAAGAAGGGGAAAGGAACCAGUAGUGUGAGCCCGUCCCCAAUGGCUUCCUCUGCCCCCUUCCUGCUCUGCAUUCUGCUGCUCGCGUCCACGGCCUCUGCCGCAUUGCUGUUCGACGGCGGGAAAUCGGCGGCGAAGGGCAAGGCGGCGGUCGACACGGAGUGGCGGCCAGCCACCGCGACGUGGUACGGCGACGCCGAAGGCGACGGCAGCACCGGUAAAAAAGCUCUGAACUCGCCUCCAUUCUCUGGAUAAAUUAGCUCUGCUGCCUCUGUGUCCAUGAGUCCAUAGGAGGAGUAGUUAACCUCUUAUUACUCGAAGCUACUAAACCGUUUGAGCAAAUGUGCAUGAAUCAGUAUUUAGCCAUAUAUACUGCCCUGUUGCAGGAUUUCCACUAACCCAGAGACAGCAGCCAAUGUGCAUUUCUUUUUACUGUUUUUGAGAUUGACAAAUAGGAUUGUUAACUGAAAAUGAUACUAUUAACUAGGACUGCUAGAUGCUAUCAGAGCCGUCCCAUUGGCACGAGACGGUCUUUCAUCUUCUCUAAAAAUAGAAGUAUUCCUCUGGUAAAAAGAGCGAUAAAAAUAUGAACGAUUAGUUCUGCCCGUUGCGGCAUUUCUGGCGCGACGUCUGCGGAUCCCAUGAGAUCCGAAGAGAAUUUCCGGUGGGCCCCUGCUGUAUGCGAGCCCAUUAGGCAUCAGCGAGGCGCUCGGUCGCUUUACGAUUCGUGCCCCCAGUUUCUCAGUGCAACGACCGGCGAAGACGACCGUGUCAGGCCUUCCAAUAACUCCAUUGCUCUGCUCGGUACCAACAAAUGCGGAAAUCGCUAAAAUCUUCGUGGUAAAUGCCAUCUCUGGCUCCCUUCACACGCUCCACCGACACUCCUGGUAACUUUGAUUUUUGCAUCCGUAAAUUCCAACAAUCUACUCCAGUACGCUAGCUGUUCGCUGCAUUUACACUCAUCAGAAGCCAGAGCACCGCAGCUAGUCGUACCACCUGCAGUAGAUCGGAGUACUACCUCGGUUCUGCCAACGAGCUGCAUGCCAACUUACUUGACUGUGCGUUAAUUUCUGCGAUUUUUCUCAGGGGGCGCGUGCGGGUACGGGACGCUGGUGGACGUGGUGCCGAUGAAGGCGCGGGUGGGGUCGGUGAGCCCGGUGCUGUUCAAGGGCGGCGAGGGCUGCGGAGCCUGCUACAAGGUGAAGUGCCUCGACCACGGCAUCUGCUCGCGCCGCGCCGUCACGGUCAUCGUCACCGACGAGUGCCCCGGCGGGCUCUGCGGCGGCGGCCACACCCACUUCGACCUCAGCGGCGCCGCCUUCAGCAGGAUGGCCGUCGCCGGCGCCGGCGCCCACCUCCGCGACCGCGGCCAGCUCUCCGUGGUCUACAGACGGUGAGCCCUCGUUACGCGUUCUUUCAGGUCUUUCCUGCGAACUUGAUCUGAUCAGUUAGUUAGCUGGUUAGUAAACUACUUUUAAUCAGCUUUGAGGCAUGCCAGAGUGGACACGGAGACGCGGACAAAAGCUCCUUCACUCCCGGACUCGUGAAGUACUAAAAUAGUAUGAUCGAUCCGUGGACCGUUGUGGAAACAUCGCUAGCUAGCUGAGGCUGUAGUAGUUUGUUGCCCUGUCGUGUCUUCAAGCACACGGGAGGAAUUAAAUUGUCCAGGGGUUAAAUGGGCUUGCAGCACCAGCUCAUAGCUGUCUUGGGUCUGUGUGCUGUAUCACAGUUACUCAUGCCCUCUGCGUGAUGUAACUCAGUCAGAGACUCAGAGGUGCGAUAUCCAUUGUCAAGAUUCCUGGUCAAUUCCUCUAGAUCCGUUCACCAGUCUCUCUGACAGUAGAAAACCUGUCGUCUAUUCCUCAAGAAAAGAUAAAGAACUGUACCAGUCUCAUCAGUAGAUUUCUGCAACUAGGAAUAACGAUUGGUUUAGUGAAGCCUAAGAUUUCGUGUUUCUUUUGUCUGAUAGAUUGAUCAGUGCAGUGUACUUGUGUUUUGUAUCAGGACUGCCUGCAAGUACGGAGGGAAGAACAUAGCCUUCCAUGUGAACGAGGGCUCGACGAACUUCUGGCUCUCACUGCUCGUCGAGUUCGAGGACGGUGAGGGCGACAUUGGAUCCAUGCAGCUAAAGCAGGUACGUAACGAGAGGUCGUCUUCUUUUUCCAGAACUUGACAUGACAUGCUUCUUUACUUUCGUUCACUGCCUUUAAUUUCCCCGUUGUCUAGCUAGUAGUAUCACAUCAACAAAGGAAAUGGGGAAAUCUAGUUAUCUUUAUUUUGCCUUUCACUGCCUUCGAGUGGUGGGAACAAGCCGAGUGGGUACAUGGGACGGAUGUUCCGUGGGCCGUGGGGUGCAAUAGGACCGCAGAUCGUUUCCUUUGCGAAAGCAUGUGAGCUCUCUUUCAUCGUCCCUCCCUGCUCCAUGUGGUUGAGGACAUGUUCCACUGUUGGUUGCUUUUACUUACCGUCAUGCGCCAUGCCUAUGCUGGUGGCUAGCAUAGCAAAGCAAUGCCAUCGUUGUUAGGUAUCCGUGCUGUGAUGUCCUCUGUAGAACAAGCUGAACUUAGUAGAAUCAUCCAUAUGAAACUGACUGGUACAGUCGAAUUUACAACAAGACAGAGGUGACGGAGCGAAACAAAAAAAAGAUAUACUCCCGUAAGUAAGAUCUACUGUUUGCUCAAUCUAAGCUCAUACUCCAUUCUAAAAGGAACAGCCAUCAGACACAGAAAUCCGCCACACGUGACCAAGAAAGCAUGCUAGUAAUACUUUCUUGCCCUGUCCUGUCUACCACACAGGUCACAGAGUCUAGUCAAGAUAUCAUUCGCUUUGCCUUAUGAUGCCCAUCCGGAACAUAGUAGUAUAAAGAAUCCGAUGUAAGUGCACAUUGAGCAGCAGCACCCAGUUGACAGCCCCCAAAGGCAAGCACAUCAAAGCCUCCCCUUUCUCCCGAAAAUCCACUGCCCAAUGAUGCUUCCGCUUUAGCCCGGUCAAUCGGUCCUUCAGGACUAGACACUACACUCAUGCUUUCAGGUUUGAUUUAAUCUGACACCCAUCCCGCACGCUCUUGACUGGGUUGCGCGGCCUCGUAGUAGUAUCCAGGGAAUCGGGAGCACGAUGCUGCUCUGUACAUGUUGCCCUUGCGCUGUCUGCUGUCUGCUGUCUGCUUAUUACUGUAGAGCCUAUAGUUCGAGCUGCUGUAAAUAUCAGUAUAACACGGGCGCUUACAUGUACUUUCUUGAUUCUUGACAUCACAAAUGGUGCGUGCAGGCGAGCUCGGCGCAGUGGCUGGACAUGAAGCACGUGUGGGGCGCCACGUGGUGCAUGUACGGUGGCCCGCUCGCGGGGCCCUUCUCCGUGAGGCUGACCACGCUGUCCGCCCCGAAGACGCUCACGGCCCGGGACGUCAUCCCCAGGAACUGGGCCCCCAGAGGAACCUACACGUCCCGCCUCAACUUCGAAGCCUCUCUGUGAUGGACCGGACCGGACUGGGCCACGUUUUAUCGGCCCGGAUGGAGCCCGCCAAGUGGAGCAACAAAUGCAGGCCCACAUGGCAGGCAAGCAGGAGUUCUGUUGGAUGGACGAAGUAGAUUUUGUUUACCGCGGAUGUGGUCUGUGAUCAUUAGAUGAUGCGUAGCGUAAUGUGUGUUUAGCAGGAGUAGUUUGGAUCAGGAGCUGGGUGAUCUGGCCCGAGCAAGCAGCCGUCCUCUCCAAAAGGAGAGAGAGCGUUUGCUGCUUUUGCUUUGGAGGUUUUUCCUGCUGGGAAUCAGAUGCGGAAGCCGAUUGGACCGGAGGGUUUUGGACCCCUCUUGGUCGCCGCUCGCUCUUUUCAUCUACCACUGCCUUUUUCUAUUUGCGUGUUUGUUUUGUCUGUUAAUUUGUUUACCAUGGUUGAAGUGAAGGGAUCGUGAGAAAAUGUGUUCCAUGCUUGUUCGCGUCAGUUUGCUAGUCUGAUUCGUAAGUGGAAAACGCUAACAUGAGACAAAUUGUCUAGCACCAAUGUUGGAAUAUACUUAAGGGUAGAUGUUGAGAUAAACAAAAAGAGUGAGUGCCAAAUUAACUUAGCACCCAAUGCUAAGCCAAAUAAGUUACUCUAACUUAGUUUAUGUGUACACCAAUUUAAAGUUCUUAGCAUCUACAAGUGGGGUUAAGGAAUGCGGCAAAACAACUUAGAGUGCUAAAUAGAGAGAACAUUGUUAUGAACACCCUUGGAGCCUAAAUACUACUACUAGGUGAUAGGAUGCAGACGCUCUAAUUUUUCCUUUUCUGCCAUCAACAUUGGCAUCCCCACCUAGAGUUAAGGACGUCCUAUCCACAAGUUGUCUCUGAAUGGGCUGGAUGGUCUCCUGCCCAAUCGUGCACUUCAUCAUCUCUAUGUGGAGGUCCAAAACUAUAUCUUUUGCGCAUGAAUUUACCCGAGCCCAUCAAGGCUAUUUCGAAGGUAUGAAAUUGUAUAGUUUUGUGUGUCGCUUUGUUUUGAAGUUUAAACAUCCCACAUACUAUAGAUCACAGGCUUACACCAAUUGAGGUUCUCUUUCACUCAAGGUAGUCGAAUAUUUUUCAUAUUGAAUGGGAAAUGGGACAUUUAUGCGGAUAGAUUGUUUUGUUCGAUUUGGUCAUGAUUCAUUUACACUACAUUUUUAGAGAACUUUCACUCAAUUUUCUAAAAAGAUGUGUUCUUACUUUCCUAUCGUGCAAUCGGACGAAUUGAGGUGCUUCUCAGGAAAAAAAAUAACAAGAAACAAAGGUUGCAAACAUAUUGUAAUCCGCACGAGGCAAAAGUUUAUUAAAUAUAAUAGUAAUACUUAUGAAUUCUUGUAUUGGAUCCACUUCUCAACAUUCAUUUUCCUUCUCAGAAAACAUAUCAAUCGUUAAGUCUAGUUAAAUUGAAUAUUUUUAUUUUCAUGAAAAAUAGGUAGUUUAUUGAACCCCUUAAAUUCAGAAUUUGUGAAAGUAGCUCUAGGUUCCUAUUGUUGGGGUCACGAUGGCUUCGUUCGCGUUUUAUGGAGCUUCUCAUAGUUUGACUUAUUUCUUCCGUUUUCACAUGAGGAGGUAGAAGGCACCAAUAUUGAAGACAAAAACAGAUUUAAUCCACCCUUUAGAUUUUUCUAAAAAUAUUAACUGAUCUAAAGAAAAACAAAAAGGAAACCCAUUGACUUUAUUUCUUCUUUUCUACACGUGGAGGGAAGAUGGCAUGGGUUUCGAAGAAAAUAAAAACAAGUAUAUUCCACCCAUCCCUUUUUUACUUUUCAAAUAAUAUGAACUAAUAUAAAGAGAAAGAAAAAGGGAAUUUCAAUGAUACGUAUUGUUAUUGAUCAAUUAGAUUUUGUUUAUGCAAAUUCAAUCACAUUGGAUAUAAAUGGAAUAACAUUUUGUUUUUCCAAUCCAACAAAUCAAAGAACUUAUUAUGGAUCGGAGGGAGUACAUAACUGCAUAAGUCUGCACGCGUAUUGUGUGUGAUGUGAAUUGUGUUGCGUACACAAAAGAAGAAAUGAAAUACAUCCAUAAUUUGUAUACACAUCUCUUUGAUUAUACCAUAAAUGUAUUGACUUUGUGCACACAACCUCUUGCAAUAUCAUGUCUGAAUAUCUUCCCUUUGAUCACUACCCAUUACAAUUUCAUUUUCUCAGCACCAGCAAUAUAAGAUGGCACCAAAAAAUGUGUGUAUACAACGCAACUUCGGGGGGAGGGAAUUCAUAGAAACGCAAGCCCAUCAUUUUGAAACACGGUAAACUUUGUACCAUUGAAUAUUAGUGUAAUUGACAAUCAAAGUUAAAUUUUAAAAACACGGUGCACGCCCAUCGUUAAGGAGGAGGCAAGUAGAAAUUUCCAAUAGGAAAUCAAAGUGCGAACUUCGUUAUCCCGGUUCACUUCGGAGUUAUCGAACUGUCAUACUGCCAUCAGUCCAAAUCACCCGUCACAUUCUAUGACAGGCCGGGCCCAACCAAGAUACCGUACUGUUCCAUCCCCAUCACGUCAGGCCCCUGCAGAUAUUUCUGGUUUCCAGGACGCGUCUAUCUCCCAUGCCCGCUUGGACUCGGGACUCUCCCUGAAAUUGCAAGCGCACCAAGCAACUCCAUAGCCGGGUUCCAUCAACCCAGCCAGCCACCACGAAGCCCACGAGCAGGGGUGCCCCAGUUCCCGUUUCUCUCGCGUAGAAGCAAUCGCCAUUGCCGGAAUCUUCAGACGAGGAAGUAAUGGGGGCGACAGGCCCGGACGCCGAUGAGAAGGAGGAAGGGGUGAUGGCGACGGACUUCUUCUGGUCGUACACGGACGAGCCGCACGCGUCGCGCCGCCGGGAGAUCCUCGCCAAGUACCCCCAGAUCAAGGAGCUCUUCGGCCCGGAUCCUUUGGCCUUCCUCAAGGUGCCGUGAUCUAUUUCUCUUCUUAUGUCCUUUUGGAUCCCUCAAACUUGAGAUCCCGCGUAAAUUGAGUUCUCGAUCGUUUCAGCGUGGAUUGAUUUGGUACUGUGGCGGUCGUCUUGUUUUAAUUCUACUCUAGCCGAACAGCUAUAGAUUCAUAACGUUAAGCUUUAAUUGCAGCGGCAUGAAUUUGAAGUGCGAUUUUCUUUUACUAAUCACCACUGUUAUUAGUUCUGUGCUUAGCAAAAAGAGUAUGUACCAUGCAAAGCUGAUGCAUCUCAUCAAUUUUUACGGUUUAGUCACGCAGUGUAACUUAAAGUUCCUGUAUCUGGUUGACUGGUGUACUCUGGUGUUCAGUUCAGUAAUCAGUACUUUAGUUUCACAGUCCCUCCUUUAAUUCAGUGCCUUUUCUACAUGGGGAAGCAUUUUGGUUGGAUACAAUUUAAUGCAAAUGUUCCUUGAGCUGACAAAAGCUUGUCCGUUACAUGUCCACAUCUAGAUCAUAUGGUCCACAUGUGAUUCUCUAGCGAUGUCGCUCUUGAUAAUAGUUUUGGAGUUGGUGUAGACUGAAGGUCAUGUUCCAGUCCACUCAUGUUCGGUGUGAUAAUUUGAAUUUCAUGUAGAUUGAAACCACCAGCAAUUUUCUAUACUGGCUUUAAAUUAAGAUGUCCACAAACUCGGAUAUUAUGGUUGAAAAAGAUAUAAUCGGCAGUAGAAAAAAUUGCGCUCAAGUACGCUAACAAUCAGUAAUACCGCCAAUCUAAUUGUUUUGACCAUCCAUAAUAAGCACAAUAGUCUGUAAAUAAUCCUAUCUUUUGAAGUUUACAAUGGUCGGGUAGUUGCUAGUAUGAUCUAGAAAUCUGCGGGCCUCAGAGUUCUGCAGAAACUGUCUUGUUGGUUCUGAAUCUGUUCUGCCCAUGCUUUCCAUGCCUGAAGUGGUUACUGUGUUCUCCAUUUUUGCUGUGCAUCUGUGAGAACCAACCAGAUUAUUCUCCACCUGUCGUUGCCAAUAUGAGACAUGGGGUUCAUUGGCAAAAUUGGUAUCUUUCAGUUCCUCUGAACCACACUUGCUGCAGUGGUCUUUGAACUUCUCAGUUGCAGUGCUCUACCUUAGCAUGGCAGGCUGGCAACUUUAAAUAUCCAUGUAAAUCUCAUGGCCUAUGUAGGAAAUAUAAAUACUAUCCCAUCUGACCUUACUUGUGCUGGUUUUUUUGUUUUGUUGGAAGUCGUUCGUAACUGCAUGACUAGUGAAUUGACUACACUGGAAUUCAUAGGAGAAUAUGAAUGUGGAAACUUCUCAAACCAUCUUUUUGUGUGAAAAAUGGAAAUAACAUCCUAAAAAAGCAUAUUUUCUAUUUAACUGUUGCUAUAUUUUCACAUCCAUCUCAACUUUGAUUGCAGAUUGCUGCAGUUGUCACACUUCAGCUAUGGACUGCUAUGCUCCUGCAAGACGCUGGCUGGUUGAAGAUAUUGAUGGUUGCCUACUUCUUUGGUUCCUUUCUGAAUCACAAUCUCUUCCUUGCGAUCCAUGAACUCAGUCACAAUCUUGCCUUCACCACGCCAUCUUUAAAUCGCUGGCUAGGUAUCUUUGCAAACCUCCCCAUUGGUGUCCCAAUGUCCAUAACAUUCCAGAAAUACCACCUGGAGCACCACCGCUUCCAAGGUGUGGAUGGAAUCGACAUGGAUAUCCCCAGCCAAGCAGAGGCGCACGUGGUCAAGAAUGCCAUCAGCAAAUCUGUGUGGGUUGUGCUCCAGCUCUUCUUCUAUGCACUUAGGCCACUCUUUCUGAAGCCAAAGCCUCCAGGCAUGUGGGAAUUCACCAACCUUACAAUCCAGAUCGCGCUCGACGCCAUGGUGGUGUACCUCUACGGUUGGAAAUCGCUCGCCUAUCUGAUACUCUCGACGUUCGUCGGUGGUGGCAUGCACCCUAUGGCCGGCCACUUCAUCUCGGAGCACUACGUCUUCAACCCAGACCAGGAGACCUACUCGUACUACGGGCCGCUGAACCUGAUGACAUGGCAUGUAGGGUAUCACAACGAGCACCAUGAUUUCCCCAGAAUCCCAGGCACCAAGCUGCACAAGGUGAAGGAGAUCGCACCGGAGUACUACAAUAGCCUGAAGUCAUACAGGUCCUGGAGCCAGGUGAUAUAUAUGUACGUCAUGGACCAGACGGUUGGCCCUUUCAGCCGGAUGAAGAGAAAGGCGCCCAAAAAAGACUCUUAGAAAAACUCUGCAUGUAGUGUUAUUUUUGCCAGAGAUUAGUUAUUUCAGAUGAUGCUUCCCCGGACAUUCGGCUUGUAAUUGUAACUUUUGGGAACCGGCACUUGUACCAACUCACUGGUUAUUUUCUACUGGAGCGCCCUUUUUGAAUUUCGCAUAUGGAGUUCUUAGAAACAGUCCAGACGACUAAUCGAGUGAUUUUCUGACUUUCAGUUUUGUUUCAAAUGACGUGAACUCGUCCCCAAGUUCGGUACGCGUGCUCGUGACUCAUGAGUUGCUAAUCCAGGUUCAUUAGUUGCAGGAUAACUUUGUGUGCGUCACAACCGGAGACUGGAGAAGCUAGAGAAAUCGCAAAAGAUGCCGCUGACCACACAAGAAAUGUGUGGGCGCUGAGCGUAGCGUGCACGGGGAGCACUCAUCCUGACGGCCGCGUUAGCAAGUAUCGGCAUCCUGGGGCCUGGGCUCUCCCCAACAUUGCCGCAGCUGCGGUCGCCACUCGCCACCCGUUUGUUGUGUUGACCGCACGCUUGUACCCAAGGCCAAGGGCCUCGGCUGCUCUGCGCUUCGUACCAAGUCCAAAUUGGAAGGAACAAGGAAGCGUAAGAAUUCUGCAUGAUCUAAAAAAAAGAUUGUACGAAUUCUGAACUUGUAGCUUCUAUGGAGUUCUUAUAAAUCUGGUGGCGCCCGCCCCUGCUAGUCUGCUAUUAAGUGUACCUUUUGUCCUCUAGCCGUGGGCACGUUCACCACGCCGAGGAAUCCAUCCAUGAUCCACCGUCUCUGGUCAGGCUUCGUCCAGCUAGUUGCCGCCGCGCCGUAGCCCUGCUAUUACGGCGCCGUUAUUGGACUCCGGCAUGCGGCAGAGGCUGCUCCUCGAUUGAGACCCUGAUAGUGCUAUAGAACUAGUAAUACAUUAGUACUACAUAGAACUGUAUUAUACUACUUGCAGGUAACUGUGGAUUCUCAUGGCUACCAUCGUGGUGGUGCGUAUAUUUGAUGGAUAAUUUGCUACGGAGUACUCCGUAGUAGUACGUACUAAGACAAGGGGGGGAAUUUAUGGGAAGAGUUGUGCGCGCGACUACUCUCGUGGAGGAAACAGAAUACCUGCAGCGAUCCAAGUCAAAUGUCAAAAUCCACGCUCCUCUAGAAACCGAUGAUUCUUCCCUAAACAUUAGAUCACGACUAAGCCGGAAACACAUGGACCAGAUCUACCCAUUUAUUUGUUUCCCAGUACCAUUUACGCGUUUCCUUCUUUUAAGGCCUUCUAUUCUAUACCACUCCCUGAGGAAACUUGCCAGCGAGGCAACACAAACAAGGAAACACAGAGCAGUUGGACCCAACACUCCGUGACAACUGGACCCGACGAACUCUGCCCGUGCAUCAGGCCCACAUGUCACACUCCUCUCCGAGACGUUAUUGUCCUCUUCUUAAUCCUGUGGGCUGUGGGUGGCGUGAGUGCGUGAUUCAAGCUUCAAUCGCCUACGCUGGUACACGCUCAUCGUCAAACUUUACAGAUCGGCUUCCCCGUCCAGGUCCACACGCGGCACUGGCUAUAUAUCCCAGCGGCGUCAUCCCCUCCAGACGCACGACAAGUCGCCAACCCGGCCCAACCGCCAAUCAGCAUCAUCUUUCUCCUCUCCUCAACCCGCGACCGGAAAGGAAAGCAGAUUCCUCCGACGAAGAAGAGCCUAGCGGGAUCGGAGAUGGGAGGCUUCGACGUGAAGCAGCGGACCAUGGAGCUCAAGAUCGCGGUGAUGAAGGGCGUCAGGGUGGUCGGCGACUUCAGCAAGAAGACGUGGAAGAAGGUGAAGAGUGUCAAGCGCUGAGUGAUUGAUCGGUUGGUCCAGCGCUGGCUUGUGUUGAUUCGUAUGAUUGAUAGCAGGUGUGAUUUUGGUUGUGGUUGUAAUUGGCUUUGUUGGAUCUGUUUGAGGCACCUUUUAAUGUGAGAUUUUGCCUGUUUGUAUGGAUUAUAUUAUAUUUUUGUCUUCUGGUUUUACUUGAUUGAUCGUGUCUGCUGUUUUUUUGCUUGGUUCGUCUUCCAUGGGUGAAGUUUAUGGUGAAUUGCUGAUAGUUCUGUUGUUGUUGAGAUGUUUGGUCUGUUCUUGCCCACCUAACAGGCGAUCCAUCCAUAUCCUGAAAACUAUACACGCUAUUUUCAUCAGGAGGUGAAAAUCUGGCAGACUUCUCACCGUUACACAUUCGAUGAAACAAGGCUCAAACUUAUGAUCACAUAUUCUUACCGAUGAUUUUAUCUCAGCUAUAAAAGAAAACUUGGUUGCUAUUGAUCUACGCAUCACAAAAUUUUCAGUAUGAAAGGUUGCUGCGCAUCACAAAAUUCUCAGUUAGACAGUAAUACGAGCUAAGACUGGAGUAGUUUGCCUCUGCACUACAAAGGGCUGGACAUACACGGCAGAUGCGUCCUUGGUGUUUAAAGUUCGACAGCUAGCCUCUUCAGACUAAAAAUUUAAGAGCUGAGCUGGCUGUGGUAGCGGAGCUGUACGAAAAAAAAGAAAGUCCUCAGGCAACAACUCACGGCACGAUGGCACACCGCCGUAUGCGGAAACAUAUGCUGAACAGCAGCAGAAAAUGUUUCUUACGCCUCGCUGUACUAGCUGAUGCAUAUAGCAGCACGUGAAACCGCUUUCAAAAAUAAAUAAAUUAUACAGCUACAAUACCAGCAUUUUCCAAGCCAAAACGGCAAAAUUCUUGUGCUAUUAAACAGCGGUACAUGCAUCACGGUAAGUUGCUCACUCUACAGUGCUCAUGAAGAUCUAACGGGAAUAACCGCAGGGAAUUGGAAUGUCCACAAGCCGCCUACUGCGGAGGAGCGUCAGGAUCCAACCUUUUCUGGAUUGCAGCUGCGGCCUGAUAAAGAAUAUGUUUGGCAUUAAUUAAAUAUACAUUUCGCCUCUAAUUACACUGGCAAGGUUAGAAUAAAGGGCAUACCUCAAAAUUCCCCAACUUGUACUGGUACAUCAUUUCCUCACGCAGGAGGGCCUGCUCCUUCAUUGCUUGAGCCUAAAAUGGGGAUCAAAGCAAGCAUCUAUGUCAGAUGACAGAACAAAAAGGUGAAAUUUUUGUAAACCCAUUCUAAGCAAGUGAAAUUUUAUGCCAACCCAUUUUAAUGUAUACAACCAUACAGGUAUUCAAUAUCAUGUACUCCAUCCCAAAAUAUAAGGCACAUUUCAAUUGCUUUGACCAAACCUUUGAGCAAACCUUGCCCCAUUAACAUGUGACUUACGUGACCAAAUCAUAAUCAUAAGCAAGUACUUUUGAUUAAGAAUUAAAUGAUGUAAUUUUUUGUCACAUAAAUUGUAUAUUGAUGAAGUAAUUCUUAGUCAAAAGCUUGUUCAAGGAAACAAAAAAUGCCUUAUAUUUUGGGAUGGGUAGGAUCAAAAUCAAAAAAUUGGAUUAAAUAAACCUUGAAGCUCAACACCCCUGGAAAUCCGAGACUCAAAAUUAAAGUAUAACAGAAGUUCGAAAAGAACGAGAAGGGGCAUCUGUAACCAAUUGAUAGAGCACAUGGCUGUGGUGGUUGAGGUCUCCUUGUAGAUUCAAGCCACAUACUCCCUAUUUUAAAAGAUCAUAGAUGCAUUCUCAAAUGAAUGGAAAAAUGAAUAUAUGCAUUCUUAAAUGAAUUGGUGGUACUUGGCAAGUUGGCAUCAAGUGACCAAGGAGAGCUUUCAGCUACGUUGUGAAAGAUUGAUCACACCUACGAUACAUGAAAGGCAAAAAUAAAGAGAACAAGCACUAUUUAGUGACCAAGACACUUCCAACAAGCAUUCUCGUAUUCGAUGCAAGUUCAGAGGACAGAUCAACAAAGAAAAGAACAAGAAUACAAGAAAAAAAACUGCAAUAUUCUAACCAUUCCAGUUUGCAUGGAGCGUUUUAGAGCUGUCACUUCUUCCUCCUUUCGGCGUUCACGUUCCCUCAACAGUUCUAUCCUGCAUGACACAUUUUUUGAGAGAAGUAAAAAAAUUAAUAGCCCAGACACAAUUAACUGUUAAUCUAUCUGUAAAACAUGAAGAUUGCAUGGCAUAAUGGGCUCAUAAUUUGAAAUUGCCGUAAAAUAGUAAUCAAAUGAAUGGAACCUAGGCCAUCUACUUUUUUACCAAAUGCUAUAAGUAGACUUCAGUAAUCUAUAAGUAGACUUAUGUAAUUACACUAAGACAUUCCAUGAUGUCCAAUGCUUUGCUAUUGCAGGUAUACACAAACUAAAGAAAUGUAUAUGUCCACAUACCGUCGCUGUUCCUCGUCAUUAAAUAUUGUGCGCACUGCUACCACACCAGCAUUCUUUAAACCAUCCUUUCUCUCUUUCUCCAUCAUUCGGUGAUGGUAAGCAUCUAAGUCAUAAUAUCUAAUAAGACAACAAAAGAAGGGGAAAGAUAAAUUCCCAUACUGAAUUACUAGCAUAUAUAUAUACACACAACAAGAAUCUAUGAAAAGAAGCAUGCAUUACUUUUUUGAUGGAAAAGUGGCUGUAUUGUGGUCUUCCAUAAAUCUGAGAUGCACAGAAAGAUGUAUGUUAAACAUCCUAUGAAGAUAAGGAAUUCCAGGGAAGGGCAAUACUUUAUUUCUAAGUUCACCAGAAGCUCAUUGAAUUAUUAAUUUCAUGGCAGUAUAGUAACAUACUCCUUAAACAUUUGUUUCUCUUCCCAAUUAGACAAUGCCUCCAAAUUGACCUGUGGCCACAUUCCAAAAUAAAUAAAUUAAGAUUAACACACGAUAUCGUAAAUAAGUAAAUACUCAACAAGAUUGAGUAGUAACAAGAUUGACAAUUUGGUACCAAUGUAAAAUGCACAGCAAUUUUCUUUUUUAUAACAAACGUUAGUCUACUCUAUGUGACCUGAUAAGUGAUAACAAAACUAGAAUAAGAGAGAUUGGCUUAACAAGAAUGCAAGCAAACAUGGUUCAAUAAGUUGGGAGAAAAAUGCUAAACUAAAAAUAUCAAAAGACCAAGAGAGAGAACAAUACUGCUCUGUUCCUCUAACAUUUAGGUCAGCCUAACUUUAUAAAAUUAAAACUUUUUGCUAAAAGAGAAAUAAACAAGCUCUAAUGCAUUGUGCUCAAAUAGCAGCAAUUUUCCUUUAACAAAAUUUUUUACUGAAAGAAUAGUAGUCUACCUAGAAUAACGAUUUCUUUGGAGCUAACUGGUUUGCCUAAUACUAACUGAAAAAUAUAUAUAUAUUAGAAUGGCGUUUCAUUAGUGGGGGACGGUUAGAUACACAUUGUUGAUCUGACAUUUUUCUUGUGUGCGUACUGCGUUCAAGUUCUCAAUAUUUCAUAAAAAUGGCAAUAUCGGUAGAAUGAUAGAAACAAACAUACCUGCUUGACUUCUAACAACCAUGCAGUGAACUCUGGUCGCUUGUUCCUGCAGAAAACAUCACAUGGUUGACCUCAUGAGAGAGUGGUAGAAGUAUAAAAUAAUUGCACUUUAUAAGAUUAUCUAGAGUCUAAACUCAUAAUAACCUACAGGAUCCAUCACUUAAAUCAUUUAAUCCUAUCAAAUAGUAAAAUAUUUCAGAAUGAUCUAAUCUCCAUUUCUGAUUCAUAUUGGCCAUAAGAGGAAUUUUACGCAUUGAAAUUUACAUAUUACACAUUUACCACUAGUAACACAACUGACAAGAUAAAUGAUCUUAGGCUCUUAGCUAUUACCAGUUUACCACAUUCUAACAAUCACUUGCACCAGGGUAACCAACAAGGAAUUGUGAGGCCUCAACACAAUGAAGGGCCAGUCCGGAAACGCCAGCGGUAGCCCACAUUUCCAUCACUCCUCGUUGUCUCCUUGCAUCCCACCUCAUCUAUGGAGCUGCUGUGGAAGCUUCUCUUCCACUGCCACGAUAUCCUCAAGUGAACUCACAGCUAGUCACCAAGGCAUGCAGGAGCAUGGCAAGUGGUACAGGCUCAUUACUACGUACGUGGCAAUCACAUUAGAAUUUGGUAGGGCUCUUCGCUGUCAAAGAGGCAGAAAAGCAACUUUCCAAUGAGAGCAUGUCACCUCCCCUCCUCUGUCCUCAUCUUUGUUAGAUGAUUUUUUUUUCUAAUUUGUGGCUGCUACAUGCUUCCUGAUUGCAGAUCGAGGAAUGAAGAGAGAAGGUGGAGGAGGAGCAGCCAACUAAGGCUUAGAUAGCAAAUUAAGAAGAAGCAGGUGAUGUCUCUUUUUGUUUUUGCUAGAAUUUAAAUCACAGCAAGAAUCGUUACUAUAAUGCAAGCUUGUGAUUCAUGCACAAGAUGCUUCUUUCUGAUCUGAUGCAGUCUGUUGAUUCAUGCAGCGCAGUAGUAGCAAACUAUGUGGAUGUGUUCAUCUGUUACACUUGGUGAUUGAUAACACAACAGUCACCAGUCACUGGUAAUCACCAUGUCAGCUAGCUCUGGAGGCAAUCAAUCCACAGCCAGCAGUUUGCUUCUGGGUGUUUCUAGUUCGCCGGCUCAACAACCAAGCGCAACAGUCAAAGGUGCCAAAGAAGGUGUGUGCUGCAGGCAGUGUCAUAGCCUGCAGAAAUGUUUUGUGGCAGCACGGCUAAGCAUGGUUGGCCGUAGCCUGACCCAUCUUCAUCACUAACUACAGUACUCAUCUUGUUAGCUAAUCAUGAAGAGUAUUCCUCCCAUAUGCAUCCAUAGGCUAUUCCAGCACACAAACAUGAAUUCAUAAUUUUCUACAUGCUGGUUUACCAUAAAACUAAGACAUUGCGAUCUAAAAACAAAGUAAUAGACAGGAUUCUCACCACAUAUCAACCUCACGGAUGAUGCCAUACUUGCCCCACGAGUUGGUAACUGCAGCCUUCUUCCCCAAAUCCUUCUUCUCAUCCUUCCUCCGCUUCUUCUUAUCCUUUUCCUUCUUAUGCCUCUCCUUCUCCUUCCUCUUCCUCUUCUCCUUCUCCUUCCUCCUCCGCCUCCUCUCCUCCUCUUCCUUCUCCUUCCUCCUCCGCCGCCGCCUCCUUCGCCUGUCCUCCUCCGACUCCGACUCGCUCUCCGACUCGGCGCUGGAACCAGAGUACGAAGAUUCGGACUCCGACUCAGACGACGAUCCCGAGCUCUCACUGCGGCUCCUCCUCCUGUGCCGCCGCCGCCGCUCCUUCUCCUUCCUCCGCCUCUUCCGCCGCUCGCCCGAGUCCUCGCCGGAGCUCUCGCUAUCCUCCUGACGCCUCUUUGAUUUGCCACGGUGGCCCCGGUCUCGGCUCCCCUUCGAACUUUCCUCCUCCUCGGCUUCUAGGGAUUUGCUGUCGCUGCGCGCCGCCUCCUUGCCCGCACCAUCAUCUGGGGCAGGUGCCGAGCCGUUCUGAUCCUUGGCCAUGCCUACCCGCCUAGGGUUUCGCCGUUUUGGCGUCGCGGAGGAGACGAGAAGAUCGAGAACAGGGGUGGCAACUGGGAACGCGAGGCGGAUCGGCUGGCGAAUGGCGAAUUGGUGAUGGCCUGCUGGGCUUCGGACUGCGGGGUGUGCGAAGAGGAGAGAUAGCAGCAAAACGUUUCCACGGCCCCUAUGAGGCUAUGACAUGUGGGCCGUUGCUCGUCUGUACUGCUGCCUCUGUACGCGUCUCCCUUCUCCCUCACGCGGCUGCCUCCCUUCUCUGAGGCAAACAAAACUCCAACCUCGCCGCCCGAUCCGACGCUCCGCCGGCCGGCCGCUGCUCGCAAGUUCUGUCGGUCCAACGCGCCUUGACCGCAGAUUCCUGCGUUUGGCCGGCUCUUGCAGCUGACGAACCCGAGAUCGGCACAUCUCGCCGGCUGCCGGAUCUAGUAGGAGGAGCCCGCGGGUGCUAUUAUUGCCUUCUGCGAUGACGAGGGCUCGGGACAGGACGGAGGAUUUCAAGGAGUCCGUUCGCGUCGCCGCGCUCGCCCAUGGCUACACUGAGGUGAGCUCAUGGGGCCCCUGAGCUCAUAUGCCCAACGUGACACCUCGGGAACCCGCGCCUUCUCUUCUCUGCAUCAGAAACAGUCUUCUCUCUAUUUACGGUCCGCUGUGUUGAUUUCUUCUCUUUGCAGGCGCAAUUGGCCGCGCUCAUGUCGGCUUUCAUCAUCCGGAAGCCGAACCCCAAAUCUCCGUUUACAAAAGCAGCAAUCAAGACGGUAGAAAUUUAUUCUUUGGCUGAUCUGUUUUUGAAUGUCAUAAUAACCGGAAACAAUCGCUAAAGCUUAUGGUACUGUUAGAAUGUGGGAGGUUUGCUAGUCUAAUUGCUGGGUUCUGUUGGUGUAGCUUGAGAGUAUCAGGGAACUGGAGAAGUUUAUAGUCAAGCAUAGGAAGGACUAUGUGGACACGCAUCGCACCACAGAGCAAGAGAGGGACACCAUUGAGCAUGAAGUAAGUUCCAACACAUCUAUGUGUUGUUUGUUCUUUACAUUUUCUUCUUGUAUUCUUGCAUGAGGAUUGAGGUAUUUACUCUAACCUUGGCUAGUUGCUAGGAAAUCUUUGUUAAGACAAUCUGAUUCCACAUGCCACAUAUUUUUUAUUGUUAAUGCAAAGCUGAGUUUCAGGUUUAUUUCAUUGCAAUAGCUAUGGUAGCAUUUAGAAUAAUUCUUGGUGAUCUCUCAUCGUGUCCUCCUUUUGCAUUGUGAGAGUUCUUUCUCAGUUCUUCCUUCAUAUCACAACUGUGUUAGUUAGGAUUAAAAUUUGUUAAGGAAGCAUAAUCAUUAUCCCCUUUGUUGCACAGCAGUAAAUAAAUGUGGUUCGUAUAUGUAGCACAUCUUUUUCUUGCUAUUAAUAUAUAUACAGGUAAGGAAUGUGUAUUCUUGUAAAUUUGGGCUUCCGCUCACGUUAUUUUCUCCAUUUCGUAUCUAUGUGAUUACUGAAAGUAUAUUAGGUUGGUGUUUUUGUAAAAGCAUGCAAGGAACAGAUCGAUAUUCUAAAGAACAGGAUCCAUGAAGAUGAGAAGAACAGAAGCGCGAAGACAUGGCUUAGCACAAGAGACGAGGGCUCUCGGUUGGACUUGAUAGCUCAUCAGCACGGUGUGGUAUGUCUAUUAUGCUUCCCACUGAUCAGCUACUGUCAGUUAUUGACAUCGAAACACAUCAUUGCUCUGAUAUUACUGUUCCUUAGUGUGUGUGCACACGUAGGUUGAAUAUGGUAGUGAAGUCUCAUUGCCAUGGUUAUGUCUGUGCAGAUCGUUCUCAAAAUGAUCUUUCAAGGUCUGUUGGGUUAAUUUAAUGUUUAAGAGAGAUCAUGAUAUUGCAAAAUUUAGAAGAAUCAAGUAGGAUUGCAAUUUUUGCCCGCUGCCAAAAACAUUCAGAUUUCAGAAUAGUGCUAGUGUUCCCCUUUUCUCUCUGUGUUGGUAAAGUUGUGCAUAAUUUGCUUAAUUUUCUCUGAAAUUUUAGAAGUUACAGGCAUUCAUCGUACAUGUGUUACUGUGCUGAUAAUAUGUACUGUGGGCAAAUCCUAAAGGGUACUUACUGCUUAGUAUAUUUACGGUGGGCAAUGUUUCGUACACGAGCCGGGUGUUCAAUAGACAUGUCAAAGUGAAUAAUUAUGGUCCUUUCAAGAAUUGAUAAACAUCUAUUUUCCAGAUAUUUGGUUUCAAUGUAUACUAUGCCCGCGGUAGCAGGAUAUGCAUAACUUCAUUGGUUGAUAUCAUUGGGUGGGCUAAAAACAAACACCACAUAACUGAUCAGUCAAAACAAAUGACUUCAAACAAUGUCAAAUUUCACUUUGUAGUUCAGAUAUGCGUCCAGGAAGCAUCAUGUAGGCAAGUACACGGCUGUGCUCUUUCUUACUGGCAUGUUCUCUAAUCUCUAUAUCCAAUUUGUAGCACAAUUAAGUAAUAUUUUCUGGACUAUCCUCCUUGCAAAUAAUUUUAUAGAUUUCAUAUGGUCAGUUCCAAACUUAUAAGCUCUGUGUUCUUUGUACAAUUUUACCAGGUUUUGAUUUUGAGCGAGCGUCUCCACUCAGUAACUGCACAAUUUGAUCGCCUUCGAUCCAUGCGUUUUCAAGAGGCUAUUAAUAGGGCAAUGCCAAGAAAGAAGAUUAAGAAGAAGCCAGAAAUAAAACCAGCUGAAUCAUCCAAGUCAAACCUUGUAUUACAAUCUGAUGUAUCGAGGGUUGGAGAUCAGGAGGUAUCUACUGCACCCUUAAGAGUUCAAGAACAACUCUUGGAUGAUGAAACUAGAGCUCUCCAGGUAAUAUUUUUAUGUGAUCUUACUACGGGUUAGUGUAAGUCGGGUUAUUUACUUGCCUAACUCUUGACUCAGGUGGAGUUAGGCAACCUUCUUGAUACUGUCCAAGAAACGGAGACAAAGAUGAUAGAGAUGUCGGCACUUAAUCAUCUUAUGUCGACACAUGUCCUACAGCAAGCGCAACAGAUUCAAUAUUUGUACGACCAGGUAGGGGAUCUCUUGUUAGCUUAAGCCAACAUUUGGUUGUUUCAUAGGAGUAUGUAGUAGAGGCUGGGAGCAUAUGCAGUGAAAUGGCGAUUUAUAAAUUUUCAAAAAUUCCAUGAAAAGUGUUGGUUAUGAAAACAUUCUCGAAAGAUUCUCAGGUAUACGUAAGACUGGUAUAUAUCCAUGCAAAAUUAAAGAACUAACUAGGGCUGAUUUGCGGUACGCAAAAUUUUCAAGACUCCACAUAUUUUGGCAGGAUGCCUCUAUUAGGGGCUAUAGAUUUUUGUUUAAUUUUGUGAACAGAAACAUACAUAUCCUGCAAAGAGGUACUCCCUCCGUCCCAUAAUAUGAGGCACGCACGCAUCCCUAGAUACUCAAUUUGAUUAAUUAAAUAUGUAUCUUUUUUAACAAAAAGUACAUCAUUAGAUUCGUUAUCAAAAGAACUUUCUAAUGAUAUAAUUUUUUAAUUAUUUAAUUUAUAUUUGAUUAGCUAAAUUGACAAUCUUGGGAUGCGUGCGUGCUUCAUAUUAUGGGACGGAGGGAGUAACAGUUAAUAGCAUAUAUAUAAACAUACAAGGUUCUACAAAGAGAUAACAGAUAAUGACAUUGGACACGCAUCUUCAUUAUCAUGCGCAUAUCAUUUGUUAUCAACUGAACCUUCAUCAGGAUACAUUCAGCAUCUAGGAAUUUAUAAUGACGAUCUUUACUUGCUAACCUGGUCCAGCAUAGCACAAGAUCAUGGUUGGUUUAUUUGCAAGAUCAUCAGUUUUGCCUGCAGAAACCGUAUCCGAAUUAGUGAGAAGCUUACAGUCAGUUGCUUUUUGUCACUGCAUUUCCAUUCUGACAGCGUAUCUUAUCCAUUUGAUUCAGGCAGUGGAAGCUACAAACAAUGUUGAGCGUGGUAACAAGGAGUUAUCCCAGGCGAUCCAGCGCAACAGCAGCAGUAGAACCUUUAUCCUGCUUUUCUUCUUUGUUCUUACUUUCUCUGUUCUGUUUCUUGACUGGUACAAGAACUGAAAUAGCACAUGUAAACGUGGUUCUUUAAAAUUGCGCAAAUGGAUUGAAUUACCACCGGCGUCUCCUAGUCUCUUUAGGGCUUUAGGCGGACCAUAUUUAUGGGCUAUUAUCUUGUUUCAUGCAUAUCGUUCACUGUAAACCUGAGAUUUUGCCAUUAUUGCAAACAUAGUCAUUAGCUCAAAGUGGAUUUGCUCCGUGCCCUGCCAAUAGGGAUGCAAGCAGGAUUCCGCGUUCCCACUUCUAGGCCAAUCUACAAAUUUUAAUCAAUUUUUUUGAACUAAAAUAGAAGUGGAAGAUAAGCGGGAUGCACAUGAAACUGUUUCACUGGACAAGCAACACUGCCGUUUAGGCUGCACGGUGUUCAUCGCUUCGAAGGCCCCUCCAUUCCCUUUACACGGACAAAAAUGCAGCUGGGCAACACUUUUGGUGCAAUAAAUAAUAUACAGGUACUCCGUACUGACUACUAAAUAUCUCAACAGAACUGUUUUGAUCGCGUGAACAUGUCGGCAAACUUCAUCACGCUUGAUGUAGUUCAACUUGACAUGUAACCAAGUAGACAGAUUACGGUGAUGUGCAAUUUUAUAUUGUUCUACAACUACAUGCAAAGUUCACAAUAAAGACAAGAUUUGAAAAGUUGCUCCAGUAACGCUCCAAGCCACCAACCAGUGCAGAUUGAGAUUGAAACAAAAUUGCAGUACAUGGUAGUGACAGAUGCAGGCAAACCAAACAGGAAUUCCUGAUACUGGCAAGACAAGAAUGGUAUCUGCAUUUCAGCUCCAAAUCUCGUCACAUUACAUCUCUAUAUCAGCAUGAUUUAGGCACAUGCUUAUCCAUAAAGGCCGUUGAAAGCGUUAACCAUUACCCUCUUCGCUAUAAGCAGCAGUCAUUAGUAUCUUGCCUUCUUUUUUCCACCGAGAAGCAGUAUAUUGCCUUUGAAUAUAUACAUAAGGUGUAUACUGCCCCUCUUGCUUCAGAACAAGAGCAGGCAUAGCACCACAAACACGAAGAGGAAGAACCAGAUGUGGUGCAGGGACCUCUCCACCUCCAUCUGCUGCCUUCUCAGUCGGGGGCCCAUGUUAUGAGCCGCGAUAUAGUAAGGGCUUGUGUAGUACAUGCUCGGAGGGAGCUGGCCACGGAAUGCCGAUGGAAGCACUGCUUCGGCCAUGCCUCCAAGCACCCCUCCAGCUGUCGAGUGGAUCAAACCACGUCCCAAUGGUGAAGGAGGAUGGAUGAAGUCGAAUUCAGUGGCACCGGAAUGGUGGUGGGCAUGCCGCAAUGGCCGCAGCAGAGGUCUGGGCUCCAUGUUCUGAUGGUGGCGGUCAUCAAUGUUGCUUUGUGUGUGGUGGUGCUCAGCAUUUUCCCGGUGCACCAUUGGCCGGCGUGGAAUGGCCAUACCAUCCAGUGAUUUCUUAGAGCUACCACCGCGGCCAUAUAGUGGCACAAGGCUGUCAGCAGAUAGUGUGGCCUUGCACACAGGGCACUGCUGCCUUGCGGAACUUCGGUUGUUACUGGAAGCUGAUUCCGCAGCUGGUUGCAGCCACUCGUAGAUGCAAGGCCAGCAGUAGAGAUGGCCACAGAGGGUAACAACUGGAUCUGCGGCGAAGUCAAGGCAGAUGUUGCAGUCAAAGGAGCCACUUCCAGCGGCUGCAGGCAUCUCCCCACUAAUGUUCUUCAUUGGCUUAUCGUCAGACACUGAAGGUUGGCUAUUGAUGGCAGCCAUGCAAACCUGAUCCAUUCUCCCAGCUUCCAUGGCAAUCAGGAUGCUAUCUGUUCCGGUUGAACAACUCACAGUACUGCAAUCCAAGAAGGAGAAGUCAGUAGCCAGUAGGAAUACGCAUAACUGGAAACGAUAAAGUUGAAAAGUUAAGCUAAUCAUGAAGCGGCCAAGGCUUUUAAAAUGUUCGUAAGGUGUGAACACCUAUCUGUGUGCAUUUAAGGACUAAAAAGCGAUACGAAACAAGAACUGGAAGGAACAUGGCAAGCAACACGGCUCCAUACAUCUUCAUCUAAACAAGAGCGGGUCCAGGUAACUGGCAGCAUUGAGGCCCACACCACAUCAUCCUGUCCUGAGAAGUCUAUUCACUUGCAUUAACAGGUGUGAUAAGUAGAGCAAAUGUUAUGUAAAGCAUCAAUUCCAUGUCAAUGUGCCAGACAAAAUCUUAGCACUGCACAUGGUUCUUUUUGCCAGCAAGAGACACAUUGUGGAAGAAUCCUAUCUUUUCUUAACUCACUGAGUCAGCAGCCAUGGGUUCUCUAAUUUUUAACUACAAUGGACUGCAGCUGCUGCACUCUUGUAUUAACCCUUAUUCUUAGCACCAAGCUACUAUGGUAAUUGGGUGUACUGACAGGUUAUCCAAUCAUACAUAUCUAUCGGGAUACUCGUAAAAGUUGAAUCACCAAACAAAUCAAACCACUAGAAUAUGUCCACAGCAUAACACCGCAAUACUUGACUGACCCAUGUUGAAGGCAAGCGCCAUGAUUGGGCCACUUGCCUUGGGAAGAAAAGGCAUGUGAGACAGUUUGCAUUCUAUAAUAGGCAGCUGUGAUUUGCGUAGUGGACUUACAACUUUGGCACGCCCUUACUAGAUUAACACUGAUCCUUGCUAAUUCAAUAUUCAGGUAAGUAGCCAUGGAAGGCCAACAAGGCAGAUUUGACUAAACCAAGAAGUAGUUGCAGAGGCUAAGACGCCCUGACCUAAUCUCCAACAUAAGCUUCCAUGACAAGUCUUAUCUUUUUCUGUGGUUGUGGAGUUCCUUUCACCAUCAAAUUAUUGAAAAACAACAAUGGGUGGGGAUAGUGAUGUGGAACGCAACAAUGAUGGAUUAGCUGAAGGACUUGGCAUAUUCGAUGGGGCCAAAUACACGAAAAGGAUCAUCAUUUAACAUAUCUAGGUGAUCGCAAAAAGAAUAAUAACCUAAAGAUAAUAGCACCUACUGUAUUAAGAUCGGGGAACAAUGAAUUAAUUGCCCAACUGCUUCGUGGAAAUAUCUUGAGUAGUAACUAAUACGUCCCCAUGUGUACAAGAAUUAAUAAAUUUUACAAGUGGACUUCAGUAAAUAAUUUCUAAAUUGAGAAAAUCAUCCUUAAUUACACCACGUCCCGCACGUGAAACCAAAAGGAGAUCAAUUUUCAGGCUAAUAGGAGCUGUCCCAGGGAUGCGACUAACCAACAACUGAUUUGAUCCUUCAGAAAGAAGACAAGUAAUCCAGGCACACAGAUCUGCUAUUUAUGAUUGCACUAUCUAGUAUCUAUCACUGCAAUUAUGCACGGCGUGAAUUUUCACGGCUGUAUAACGUAAACAUACUCCGAUAAAGAACGAUUCCCCUUGGGAGUAAGAACAUAUAAUACAAUUUGACAGCUCAAUGAGCAAUGGGCAUUUUACUGGACAUACCCACAGGUCACAAGAAUCACCCCCCACCCCAACCCCCUCCCUUCUAGCAAUUUAAAAGAUUCUACUCCGUACAACCGACUAUAACCCCAAUUGGAGAAUAAAAUAAAGUUUAUAACCACAAAUAUCUUCCGUAGACCAAGGAGCACAACAUGGAGCCGCAAAUAUAAUGUCCCUCAGAAUCGAAGAUGGGAAUAACGAGUUUAGCACUGCAGAUUUCCUAAGCAGGGGAAUGGGGUCGGACUGCGCCCCUAAACUCAUAAAGGAAUUGAACAAAAUGCCUCCUUUCCUACAGAAAACGGCAUUAGCGCGCGAUAGAAAAGCGAGGAGCACCAACAGAGCUACCGGCGAUCAUCUCCUGUUCACGGAAAAGCCCCUUUAGCAGCUGGUGCCAAGGGCAGCAGCAGUAGCAGCAGCAAGGCAAAACACAAAAGCUGCGGAGCUAAACCAACCUAAUGGCGACACCCAAGAGCCCUUCAAGGGGGAAAAAAAAAGAGGUGCUAGAAUCGAACAGAGAAACGCAAUCUACACACGAACAAAAACAGGACGGAAAAAAAGAGGAGGUUUAUUCGGCCGACCUUGGAAGAAAUCCAAUCCGUGCGCGCGGCGACUGUUGCCGGCUCCUGGUGUCCAAGAAUCGGGAGAGGGGAUCAAGAAAGGAGGCGAGAAUCGGGAGAUUGCGGGUGCUGUGUCGCUGCGAGGAGGAAGGAGAAGGAGGGGGAUGAGAUUAGGCGUCGACGUCACCUGCGGAAGAGGGCGAGAGAGAGAUAUAUAGAAACAGACCCCGAGGUUGGCCGUCCGAUCCAGGUCGGACGGCUGUGAUCGGGAACGGUAGGCGCCGUCGGUUGCCUCCAUCGGACGGUGGCGACGAUUUCCCACGUUACUCUCGGUGCGGAAGCUUCCUGUUGAUUUUUUUAACGCGGGAUAAGAGGCGAGGACGGCGGUUUCGGUGCGAGCAACUGGAAAAAGGAUACUGUUUCGGGAUUCCCUGUGCAAUUUCAUUAAGCUGGAGACCCUCGUGGUCUUCUGGAUAAACUGAAGCGAGCCAUAAACUGGUUGAAUCGGUCUCUGACUUCUCUGAUGCCCCAGAUUCAACGAGGUUAACGUUACUGCCUGUGAUUGAGCCAGGUUGGACUCAAUGCUAGCGAGGUCCGUCUAGAAAGAUGCUAUCUGCAUCUGACGAUUUAUUUGAUGGCGAAUUUAGAAUUUUGCUGGUGGGUCGCUGCUCACCUUGGCGCUCCCUAUCCUGCGCCCCUGAAUUCCACCACGGAUCUGGCUGUCUUUACUUUAGCACACAGGAAUUAAUCAUGUAGGGGAUGCGACGAAGAACCAAACGCAUGCGCGAACCGAUUAGCUCGGCAUUGUCUGGUAAAUUCCAGGUGGAAGAUACUCCAACGCUUGUGCAUGGUUAACUGCCAACUGUAAUAAACGCAUUGCGACCUAUUAAUAAAAGUGAAAGCUCCACCAUAAGAAUUCACUAGGUAACAAAAACAGCAUGUCCCAACAACAGAAAGCAUCGGACAGAUCGAGACGAGAGGAAAUCCCGAGGUCUGGCCUGAUGAACAGAGAAAGAGUAACGAGGUGGAGUUAACUCAAAGAUAAAGCGUUCUGAUUGGUGUUGCUCCUACGACUAGGACACUGCAUUGACACCAUUUGGCAAAAACAAUUUUAUUUUCUUUGCUUAUGUGGCUCAUUUUUUUUUCCCAGAAAAAGGUUCUAUGAGCUCAUUUUCACUAGAAUUUGGCCAAACCUCAGACAACCAAUUCAGCUGCCGGAUUCCGGUAACAUCAAAGUUUUGCCCUGGAUUUUAUGUGCUUCAUCUAGACACUGGGUAAACAGGACCGAGCUCUUGGUCCGUUCUGUUCGGAUCAAGAUAAGGCCUAGCCGUAAACCCGUACGUCCGCCUUUGUUUAGAGAUCUGACGAGUGACAUAGCCAGGACCCACCCAUCGCGUGGCUGGCCGUUCGCAAUCACCACUGCUCUGCACACGCAAGCAUCCAUUAUCUUGAGCCGAGAUUUUAUAUGCGGACAAGAAUAUAUUUUCGAAAGGUUAUGUUCGGGCGCUGUCAACGCAUAGACACCACCGUGAUGAUUACCCACCCGGCAAUCACGAAUCAUGUUCGUUUAUUUGUUAAACUCUCGCGCAAGAGCGUAAUUUUCUAGCCUUAUCGUGUACGCCCUUUGUGGGGAUGGAUGGCUACCAUGGGCCAUGGCAUUGUUGGUUUUGGCAUAGGCAGGCAGACUAGUCAUAUCUGUUUGCCCCACUGAGAAGAUAAGCUCGGAGUCGCAAGUGAUGUCACGGGAGUUCAAGCGCGCGAUGGAACAAGCCAUGUGCCGUUUUCUAACUUUAUCGUGUCAGUACAGUCACAGAAAUAUCCACAAGGUUUAAGCCCUGUAGUCUGUAGAGAGUUGAAAGAUGCGAUCGCACGUACACGGGCAGGUGAGUAUGAUUGAUAGGGUCAGCCAGUCCAGUAGUGAAUUUUCCUGUGUGCAUGACCGGCCAACGACCUCCGGCUUUGCGAAAGAUGCCGGCCGCUGAACGGACGGAAAGGGAAAGCCCAGCCGCCGAGAUGCCGUCCGGGAUCCCGGGUCGGGGUGGCCGGCCACCUCCUCCCCACCGUUCAGCUCUCUGCACGAGCACGACGGCUGCAACACUCACUUACUCAAGUCAUUGGCGCGACAAAGGUUAGUAGUACUGCUCCAGGUCCAAUGACGUUGAAGGGGAGAGGGAGUACAACGUUGCCAAUUGCCAGGUCCAAUGACGUGCCGCGUGCCGCGAUUACGGCAUCCGGCAACAGCAACGGUGCGGAGAUGCGCACGUUUCCCGAGAGGCCGCACGUUCGCCGGCUCCAGCCUUGCGGCAUUCUCUUCGGCCGGCCGGGGCCGGGGAACCAAGUGGUCGUUGGGUUGGCUUCCCCGGGUCACUUGUUUAAUCCCGGAGUGGACGUGGCCGCUGGCCAGUUUAUUCGGCGCAAUCCCGUCCCGCGUCGAGACAGGUGAGAGACGAUAAGGCACGGGCCGGAGCGGUUGUUGGUGCGUGUAUAUGUUUGGCUCCCCGUCCGUCCACGGCGUAGGUCGUAGGAUAUUGCAGGGCGCGUCCCGUGUGCUCAUUCGCACGCGUAAUCAUUGGGCCUAAUCUGUUGUUAGCCGGUGGGUGGGUGCGGGGAGCGCCGAGGGCGAUCAAGGGACACCGGACCGGGUGGUGGAGUCAAGGCAUGUGAUUUGGUCUACUACUCGAAAGACUGAAUCAAGAGAUCGUUUAAGAAUAAGAAAAUCGAUAUCGGCCAAUGGCGCGGCGUGACGCGUCGAGCCGGUGCACGUUUAACACCCGCGGUAGCAGCAGCCGGAGCCUGGAGCCCGAAGCGGGGUUUGUUUUAGCGGAUCGGAUCCAUGUACUGUAAUCACUGUAUUAAUGCUGUGUGUGCCAGUACAACAACCAGGAGGAUUACGGGACCGACCGGCCGGAGCGGGGUUAUUGUCCGCUGCAUGGAAUCCGACGGAUGCGUGCGCCCACCAACAAAAGGGGUGGUCGAUCGAAUCGGGCAAGGUACAGGCCGCCCGCUGUUUAACAUCAAGAGACCGUGGAUUGCCCGUUUUGUUUUCGCCGCUGUUUACUGCAGCCUGACGGGCGCCCACGAUUGAUCUGAUCUACCGGUUCUCGUGGUCCUCUCGCUCAUUCGGAUCUCAGCAAGACGUUUAGCGAACCAGAGGCAAAGUUUUGUUCACUCGUGAAUGGGACGUAAUUACGAGGUAGGGGGUCAUAUACCUUGGUUUGGAAAACCACGGAGGCGGCGAAGUCAUCGAGUCUAGGUCAAGCACUCCAAUCCGAGAAAAUAGCCGGUAGAAGUGACGGUGAAAACUUCUUAAAAAUUACGUAUAACAGCCCUUUGGGUCAUAAUACAAAUGAAAUUGCUAUGGAAUACGUUACUUUGGCUCCUAUUCUACAGAAUCUCUAAUGUGCGUUCAAUCUUAUUAUUUUUCUCGUAAUCCCGGCACAGACACUGCAACAAUUCACAUGACAUGACCGGUACUCGAACCUUUUAAAGUUUGACCAGGUUUAUACAAAAAUCACCCACCAUCUAUGACUCUAAAUUAGCAAUGCCAAAUGUAUACUAUGAAGACAUAUAACAUGAUGGAUUUUAAUAAAACUAAUUUAGAGGCUUAGAUUUCGGUUCAUUUUCUUAUAAACUCAGACAAAUCUAGAACAUUUUAUAAAAACGAACAGGAGGAAUGGUAUAUUUCAUCUGAAUCCGAUUAGUGCAUCUGCAUCUCACCCACAGCCAUCUAAAAGAUGAGAGGAUCAAAUGAGUGGGGAAUUAUGCUCACAAAACAGUUCAAGAUACUCAAGCACGAACUGAGGUUAUGUGGUAAAGGAUCACAUAUGAGUGUAUAGAAUAUGACUAUUAACAGUCCUGUCAUAUAUAUCUACAGCCCAAAAGAAUGAAAAGAUGGAAUCAGGCUUCCUUGGUAAUUUCAUCACAAGACUUCCUCAUUCAUUUAUUGAUGAUACACAGAAGGUUAAUUUCCAAUAUUAUCUACACGUGGGUAUAGAAAGAUUGUGCAGAUGACGUCAAGUUUUCGAUGAUCUGACCAUAGGACGUGGAAUGCUAAGUAAACCGUGUCCAGGAGGUCUCUUCUGCAUUUUACCUCUCAGCAAAUUUCUCGAUGCAUGAGAUCAGCGUACUUUCAGGCACUGCUCCGAUCACCGAAUCUUUUUUCUCACCAUUCUUGAAUAUCAUCAUGGUUGGUAUGCUCCGGACGCCAUACUGACUUGCUAUGUCUGGAUUCUCAUCGGUGUUGAGCUUGUAGCAUUUCAACUUCCCUUCAUAUUCCUUUGAGAGCUUGCCAACAACUGGAUCAAUAAUUUUGCAUGGUCCACACCAUGAAGCCCAGAACUCAACAAGGACAGGAAGCUCACUCUCCAUAACAAGCGAUUGCCAUGUCCCUUUCGUGACAUCAGGAACUACAAAACAAGUGGACAGUAUCAUAAUGAACAAUUGUGAACACACCAGUUGAUAAAAAUACAGAAAUAAAGCCGAAAAAAUAACUAGCAUAGACUAGCAAAAGUAAAUCAUUAUUUUGCCAUGCCUAUGACACAUAUAAUGAUGAUGGAGAAAUAAACAUGAGGCAAACUCUAGUUAUCGAAAAGAAACAUUACUGGUACUGUUUGUAUGCCAUUGCGCCCUGUACAAACAUCCUACAAUCCUAUAGAAGCCUAAGUUAGUUGAUCUGAAAGAGAUAUGGAGGUGUGGAGCAGGAGGAUGGUCAAGUCUGAUAAGUUGGCAGAUUCAAACACUAACCCAAGUCCAAAAUCGGCAUGAGGUCUCCACAUUAUUUUCAAAAAUGGUUUCUGCAAACCAUUGAGAAUCCAUCAGAUUUCCCUAUUCAUUUUUUGAACUAGCAUAAAACUCUAAUUGGUAAAUAUACUUGUCGUACUAGGCUUAAACGGUUUCUCCCCAACCCGAUUUUGAACACCCCUACUACAUAUCAACCAUGAAGGUUCAAAGUUCAAACCACUGGAAGUGUACAGCCAGUCUGUAAAUUAGGUCAGGCAGAUCCCAUCCAGACAGAGAAAUCUGUUCAUAAAAGAUCUGUAAACCUCUUUUGCUGGCACAGAAAUAUCUUCCAAUUCAGAACGCAUAUAGCAUUUCCGUAUCAGAUAUUGAAACAGGGUCACUAGUUUUUCAUGAUUAACAGCUUCGUGAAUGUAGCGCAAAUACGUGUUGCUUUUUCUAAUUGGCUUUAAGGUGCUUCGCAUAAGAUAGCAGAGGUUUUGAAUUUCUACCAACACACAUCCGCACAGAACUACAAAUCAGAACACUGUAAUAAUGCCUUGAGUACAACAGGAGCCCAACUGUUCACUGUAAAUGCUUUACCACUGCAGUCAACGGUUCGUUCUAAUAUUGCCCUAGCACAUUGCCUGCUUAAGGUGAAUAAUUUGUACUUGAUUGUUUAUGUAAAUGAAUUAAAAUAUCAUGGUUUUCGCAAAAAAAAGAAUUAAAAUAUCAUGGGUGUAAGCCAUUAAUUUCAGCCUUUCAGGAGCUUCCAGCAGCAGGAGUUUUAACAUAAAAAAACAGGUAAAUGCACCAUUGCACCUAUCAAUCCAUCAUAGGCAUUUGCUUCUCAAUUAACUUAUGAUCCUAAACAAAUCAAAACAUAUAUGUGGAGCAACCCAAGAUUAGCUGCUUUAUGUGUCAGGGAAGAACACAUAAUUAUGCUAAAGGGGGUGACAUGGAUGAUGUGGUCCAGAAAGGAAGUAAUGUAUCACUGCCAUAGCAAAAUGGCCAGGAGGCAAAGAUGCAGACAUCUAUACAUUCAAAUAUUCAACUACCAUUGAACGAUCUAAAAUCGACAAUAAAUCAACUGUACCAGUCAUGUGAUUCUAUAUUUAGAUUCAGUUACCCUCAUUAAAACAGAUGUGGCAAUAUUAAUAACUGAUAUAGCCAAAUUUACCUGCAAUAUACAAGCAUUACGUUACAAGUGAGUUCGACGCACUAAUAGGAAACUAGUUGUUCAACGUUGGCCUAUUAGCAGUCCUAUUACAGAAGCCAGAUAGUUAAAUGCUCGAGUUAGUGUGCAGCAACAUAACAGUCAAGCUUGUGUGAAAGCUUCCGAGGAAAUAAAAUUGCAAACUCUGCAUUUAAAGAGGCAGAUGCAUGCCAGAAAGAAGGCGCCGAAGCAUCAACGUCAAAUGUUGCUCGUUCUGUCAUUCAGAGUUGCUAAAAUGGUAAAAUCCAUAACCUCGCGUCCACAACUCUAUGCCCUUAAAAACUCGACAUUUGCCACGAUGGAGGACCCAAACUGAUUCCCCGAAGCAAAACAAGUUAAGCUUUCAAUCCCAAUUCCAGACACAGAACUCGAAAACUUAGAAUAGAUCCACACAGAUGCAUUGAUCGGAUAAGUAUUUAAUCACCGAAUCUCACAACAGAAUACAGAUCAAUACGUGCGACUUGACGAGCUGGCGUCGUGCAUACCUUGGAUGGAGGUGUCCUGGCCCUGGACCGCGCACACGACCGACGCGCCACGGCCAACGCCCCGGCGGUUCCCGGCGAGGUCGGUGACAGCGCGGAGGGCCGGGGAUCGCGGGGCGCGGGUGGACGGGAGCGCGUGGAAGCGCCGCGCGCGCAAGCUGGCAACGAGGGGAGAGCAGGUCGCGGGGACGGCGAUGGCGAGGGCGGAGGCCAUGGGCGAUGCGGACGGGAUGACCGGAUGAGAGUUCCAGAAGCGGAGAAGAGCGUGUUUGUUGUGAUGCGCGAGGAGGACGGGGGGAUGGAUGGGGAACUUGGAAAGGGAAGCUGGGGGCAGUUCUUCCGGUGGGCGUCAUGUGGUGGCCGCGCGCGCUUCGGCUGGGCCAGGCUGGUGGCUCGGUUGUUGCAAACGGGCAAAUGACUCUUCCUUUCAGAGGUUAAAAACGCCUGAUGACCUGAAGUGCGAGCGAGGAGCAGAGUGUCACCUUUUGCAUUGUGCAUUGCGGUUGAAUGACAAAGGAUCAGUUCAUCAGUUAACAAUGUUACUCUAGAAAAAAGGUCCUUCUCAUUCCCAAUCACGAAUAAUGAUACAAUAGAGUUUGCAACAGUGUUACAUUCAUCGCUUGCAUUUCUUUUACUGCAAUACCUGCAUCUAAUGAAUCUUUACAGCAUGUGAAUCUGAAUGUUCCAGAUGCAGCAGCUAUAAAUAUGACACAAGAUGUAGUUCCUUCUUCCUCAUGCUUCCAUGAAAAAUUCGUGCUCUUCAUCCCCCACCAUCAGAAGAUGGGAUCCCAGGAGCAGCACCCUUCUGCCUUCAGUGUUGGCUGAGCUCAUAAGCUUGCAAGGAUCUACCGUGAUCUCCACGUUGGUUGCUUUGCCGGCGGCUGCAUAGAGGCGCUCGAAACCAACCAACUGUUUCAAAGGAAAGCCUGGAACGCUUGACUUCGAUCUCGUGAAUAGGAGAACAGCGUGGCUCCCAUCCAUGGCGCCGUCGUUGGCAACAGAGAUGUGGACAGAGAAUUUUAUGGAUUCACAUGAUGCAAUGUCUUCGACUUGCACGUAGUCUAGCCCAUCCCUCCGUGUGUGUGCACGCUUCGUGCUGAUAAAGUCUACAGCUGACGAACGUGACAAACUAAUUUUCGUUGGAGCCUGUAUGAUGUUGUAUGAGUAUUUUGAGUAACUCAGACCAUACCCAAAGCCAUAUACCACAUCUCCGGUGUAAAACCGAUAUGUUCUCCCAGGGUAACUGCGUGAAGGGUCGGCUCUCAUGUUCAUAUCGUUCAUUGGAACAGCGGUGAAGGAUUCAGGGUACCAGGUAAUAGGCAAUUUUCCUCCUGUCAUCACAGUGAAUCUGAUUAGUCAACAUACAAGUUUCUCAUUCGACUGCAUACAACUGUAAAUAGUUUACUGACCUGGAUUGUACUCUCCAAAGAGAAUUUCUGGGAGAACUUGUCCGCCAACUUCCCCUGGAUAUCCAAUCCACAAUACACUUGCAAUUCUUUUAUCUUGCUUCGCAAAAGAAACAUCAACAGGACCACCACCCGUGAUAACCAACACAAGGGGCUUCUUGGUUACACUAGCAAUGCUAUUUAUGAGGUCCAUUUGCUUGCCGGGAAGGAGAAGGCUCACUCUAUCAAGAUCUUCAGUCUCCUGAGUCAGGUUCAACCCAGCAAUCAGAACAACAAUAUCAGCUCUUUUAGCUACUUCAAUGGCUUCGCCAAAUCCAUCUGUUGAGUUACAAGAUAUAUCCUUACAUCCAGCAGCAAUGGUUGUUUGUGGAACAACGGCUUGCAUGCCUUUAAGAAAGGUGGUAGGGUUACAGGGAACUCCUGAACAAAGCAAAACUAACAUUAGUUUAUGUACUGUAGGAUAGUAAAAUAAGGGGCGUUUAAAGUUUAAACAAGGCCAGUGAUUUAGACCUGUGUAAUCUCCACCCAUUAUAUAUGCGUCAUUUGCUACUGGUCCGAUGAUAGCAAUAUGACUAACUUCGCUUCUCUUCAGAGGCAAAAAACUGUUAUCAUUCUUCAACAAGACAGUACCCUGCCUUGCAGCUUCUGCUGCAAGCUCCCUGUGCUCUUUCGUGCAAAUAUUGCUUGGCCCUAGUUGAGUGAACCACUGAUUCCCACUAGUCUUAUCAAAAAGUCCAAGACGUAGCUGAACAGAAAACAGAUUAAAAAGAGCAUGGUUGAUAUCUUCUUCUGUUAUCUUUCCUUUCUGAAUUGCUGACUUUGUAUGCCGAAUCAGGAAGGACCCACAGUUGAUAUCCAUUCCUUGAAAAAGAAGGAAUCAUAUUCAGCGAGACAUUCUGCUUGGUUGAAGGCUACACAGAAGGUGUUAAAAAAAAAU
rnacentral:lncRNA from 1 species